rnacentral:lncRNA from 1 species
AACAGGAGUUCUAUACAAAAUAAAUAAUUACAUUAUAAGGAGACAACGGUCCAGCAACCCAAAGUUGACUGGGAGACGACGGCCUAGAUCUCUCACGAACACAUCACAGCAUCCUCCAAGCGCCUCAUCCUGCGGUACCUGUUCUUGACCUGUGGGGGGGUGUGAGACAGCAAGAGUGAGCUCACAUACGUUCAUCGCUCAACAAGUUGUGGGGAAUAAUGUGCAUGAACUCGCCAAAGGCGGGAGCUCACGUGAAGUGUAAGGCUUACCAAAGAGGAUGGUUAGAGCUGAGCAUUGCAUUUAAAGUUGGUCAAAAUUUUAUUAGCAAUUACUAAGUAUAAGUAAAUACCAACCCAAUUAAGUAGUAGAACAAAAGUAACAACUUCACCUGCGAUGCAAUGCAUAUGACAAAUUGAAUUUAGUUCCAUAAGUUAAUCAUCAGAGAGUCCUGAGCUGCUCAUGACCGUGAGCUCGGCUAGUAUACCAGUUUUACACUCUGCAGAGGUGGUACCCUUUACCCACAAGUCAUGUUACCCGUCUGCCAAGGGAUCGCGACUUCCCAUACACCUCUACCGAGGAGGCGAGGCGGGGUAACACUACGAGGCCUUUACAAAGUUCCACUAGCUUCAGAAAACCCGCUAUAGUUUAUAGGAAGCUCCAAUGCAGGAAUCCCUUGCAGGACCGCCAUCGCAGCAAAAUCCUCCCGAGGGCCUCCCUACACUGACCACUCCCCUACUGCCCUUGCCCCUUUCGGGUAAGGUAGUCCUCCACUAGCUUUCCUAAUUAAUCAGCCAAGGGCGUCCAUAAACCCUUGUGGUGGCACGUGUUUCUCAAGUUAAGCUCUAUGUUCCAAUUAACAUUUAAUGAUCUUGUCAUGAACAUAAAUAGAAUAACAACAUAAUUGGAACAUAGAUGUAAUGAAAUAUUAACCCAAAACCAUAUAAAGCAGUAGCAGAACUACCCAAGUGAUUCAGGGGUAAACAAGGUAUUCAGGAUGAACAAACUAGGGUGACCUAUUGGGUCCCAUCAAAAUUAACCUAUGCAGAUCAUUAUGAUUAAUCAGAACAUGAGUAGGUAAAAAGAAGUGAUCAAUGGCACAACUUACCUGGGACUUGAGAUUCCAGGUACCAGGAUGAUCUUCAGGUGACACGUGUUCUCACUGCUAAAAGUAGCAAUAUAGACAAACAUGUAUAGGCAAAAUUAACAUCACACCAAACAUGAGAAUAAACUAUGUAAUAAUAUUCUACAUUGCGUAACGAGAUCGUAGAAACAAGAACCACUAAAUUUGGAGCUACGGUUACCGAGUUAUGAAUUUCUGAAAUUAUUUAGUGCUUAGAAUAGAUUAAUCCAAAUGAAUAAUUUUAAUUCAAGUUUCAUGGCUAAACAGUGUUACUAGUUGGUAGAAAAUAUUAAUACAAAAUUAUUGCAACUGGAAUGGCUCAAUUUGGAGAUAAAAUGAAUUAUAUACGAAUUAUACAAGUUUCUAGUAUUAUCUUUGUAUUAAAAAUCAUUUUAUAUACUUAAUUUUCUAUUUUUAUUGGUCUCUGGACUGGGCACCAAAUAAUACAAAACUCAGGGUCCAAUCUGUAACAAUUCCCUAGACACAAAUUAACCCACAGAUGGACGACGGGUUAAUUAUUAAAAUGUCCAGGGUCUCUUUAGCAAAAGUUCUCGGGCGAAGGGGUAUAGGCUUAUCUGAGCCGUAGGAUCGAAAUCUUGCGCUCGCGAUUAAACAGGGGUUUUGAUGAAGCGGUAUACAUUCCAGUCCACCGGAUCCCGAUCCAAGGAUCAAGAAUCGAUGAAGCGAAUGGGUUUACGAGGCCCUGAUCUGAGUCGUCCAAUAAUCGAUCAAUGGUCACGAUGAGACACGAGCAUACUGGCUCAUCAGAUUGAAUCUGGGUCAUGGAAUCCUGAUCGGACGAUCCGAAAUGAUCCCACCGAAGGGGUGAGAGCGCGCCUAAUCGCAACCGCCCGAUAGGGAUCGGAUGGCCAGGAGCCGUUCUCCUUCCCCGAGCUCCCCGAUCGGACGGCGCGGUGACCCGCCGCAGCGGCGCCAUGGGCAACCACCGUGCGGAGCCCGCUCCCAAGCAGGGACCCCAAAUACUAUUGCGUAAAAACAAAAUUCGGGUGACAAAGAACAGACAGGAGGAAUCUCACCGUUGAUUGUCGCACGGACAGCCCCGGCCACGGCAGAGUGCGGACGGCGGCGAUGAUUCAACUCCGAUGAGGAAUUCAGCGCACCCGAGAUGACCCCGAUUGCUGUCGAUCCCCGUGUAAGCUUCCAAGGUCCCUUGGUGACGACACACGGGCCCCCACUGAGGCUAAGUCGGCGGCGAAUCGAAGUUGGCCCGCGGCGGCGGCGAAUGGCCAGAGAGGGGCGCGCGGCAGCAGGGGUUCUAGAGAACAGGGAUGUCGCGAGCGAGGACGAGGAGAGAGGAGGUCGCGAGGGUAUGGAGCGAACGCGCCAAUUUAUACCCCGCAGUAGCGCGCGGAGUCCGAGCUUGGCCGACCCGGAAUUCCGCGUAGGUGGUUGCGGUCAGCGCCUCGGACGCGCGGAGGUGGAGCUCGCGCAGACCAGCGGGUUUAUGGGCGAGCAGGGCUGCAGUGCCGCGGAUCCCGGCCGCCGAUCCGAUCCACGCCCACGACUCCCGCGCGCAGUGCUCGGUUCGUUGCAAUCGCUCCGAUUUCGGCGCGCGGACUUCGCACGAUUCAACGGCCGGAACCACCCGACAAAUGCGCGGGGAAGAAGGUGGCGCAUGGUAGGAGGUAGCGAUAGCACCGCGGACAGUUGAGGAGGAAUCCCGUCGCGAGCCAUGAGCGAUAUAUACGGAAGUCUGUUGGAUUGAGGGCGGCAGUGGAUGGAGCUCAAGCCUGGAAUCCGCCCGGAAGCACCGGUGUUCUGUUGAGGAAGAAGCCCUGACGAGGAUGGCCCACCAGCAGUGACAAGCAGACCACGGCGCGCGCCAGGAGACUGAGUUGCGGGGUCCGCAUGCCCAAAAGAGAAGCAGAGUUAGCAGAUCGCGCGGUGGAGCCGUUUGGUGGAAAAAUGGAGUUGGGCCACGCGAGCUAUUGGGCCGAGGCAGAUAGAAGGGGCCCAAGCCGAGACUCGCAUUUUUCUUUCCUUUUUAUAUUUUCUAUUUUCCCCAUUUUCUUAAUUUGUUUCAAAUUCAAAUUUGAUUCAGGUUCAACCAUAAAAUGGGAAUUGAUUGCAUAAUAAAUGAAGUUCCACCAUGAAAUGUACAUUCCUAUAGUUAUUUAUUUUGUUAUGUAGCUAGCUUACUUCCUUUUAAAUUGAGCAUUCAAAAGCAUGAGAAAUCCCAAAAGGUUUUUUUUAAAAAAAAAAUCCCUAAAGCACAAUAUUAAAUUUAUUUAUUUAUUUUAUUUUAUUUUUUAUUUUUUUUAAACAAAAUUUGGGCUUUACAAAUCCUACCCUUUUAACAAAAAUCUCGUCCUCGAGAUUUGUAAGGAAAGGGUGUAUACUCAGAUUGUCUCAACAUAUAUGCACAAACAAAAAUCUCGACAUGAUGCAUUAUUUAUUAACAACACAUGUGGUCAAUUAGACCUUAUUAUUCCUCCUAAAAUAGUAUCAUACCAAAUACUAACUAAAGUAACAUUUAGAUUUUACAAAUAGUAGUAAUUUAUAUAUAUGUUUAUGUAGCUUUGUGGAGCUGCUGGUGGUGGUGAAGGUAAUGGAAGAUUGGGAGAACAUAGGUAUCCAGCUACUAUAUAUGUGGGAUAUAAACUGAACAGGUUGAGGUAAGAAAGAUUAUGGCAUGGAAAAGACUUUAUCCAAAAUGUUUAAGUCCUGAUUCAUCUCGAGAUUCGCUUUGGCUGUUAUACCCUUCCUUGUCGAUGUUGAUCUUUUCUCCUCCGGUCUUGGUCUCAAUGAUUCGAGGUUAGUGUAUAUUAUCGAGGUUUGGAAAUAUAGUUAAGAUAGAUAUGGAUGAGAUAGACUACAUGAUGUAGGUCAAAAUCUUGUUUGAUGUUAGGUGGGGAUAGACAUAUUGGAUAUAACUAGAUUAGACUAGUUAAGAUCUACUUAUUUUAGAAUAGAUCAUAGUUGUUACACUUAGUACGAGAUAAGCAAAGUAGUUAGGAUAUGACAAGAUAAGAUAGGAUAGAAUCUUUUAAGAUGAGAUGAAUCUAUUAAGAUAAGAGAAAAUCUUUUCAGAUAAGAUAUAUUUUAAUUAGGAUAAGUUAGGAUCUUUUCACAUAAGAUGGAUCUAUGAGUGUAGGAUAAAAUCUUUUAAGAUGAGAUUGAUAUUGUUAGGCUAGAUACUUUAAUGAGGGAUAACCUAGUUUAUCUAGUUAUUUUUAUAAGCAUUUUUUUCCUAUAUGUAUAUGUAUAUGCAACUGUAAUUAUGGACAUUACUCCACAACCUAUCACACUCAAUCAAAGAUCCAAAUCAGACAAAUAUCAUAAGAACAAACACUCAAGCGCAUAGAUACCCAUAAAAAAUAGUUUCAUUUUUGUUCCUAAGUGUAGGUCUCCUAUUCCUAAAGGUCACUUUAGGUACAGGAUUUCAAAGUGUGAAAUCCACAUUUGUAUUUAGAAAUAAAAGGUAAGAAUAAUCAGAGUAAAGCGGAAAUAGAUGAGAAAAGAUUAAGAAAAGUUUAGAUAAGAAUCAGAGUAGCAAAGGUAAGUAAAUAUUGGUUGUCCAGUUCUAUCUAGGUUUCGUCCUACAGUCAACAUUCCUCUGAUACCACUUCUGUCACACCCGGAUUUUAGGGGUCCAAAACCCGGGCGCGAACAUAAUCACCAGGUGUGCUGGGACCAAGUCUCACACAUAUGAUGAAUCAUGGCACAGGAUCGAAUGUCACAUCUUUACUACAUAACAGGAGUUCUAUACAAAAUAAAUAAUUACAUUAUAAGGAGACAACGGUCCAGCAACCCAAAGUUGACUGGGAGACGACGGCCUAGAUCUCUCACGAACACAUCACAGCAUCCUCCAAGCGCCUCAUCCUGCGGUACCUGUUCUUGACCUGUGGGGGGGGUGUGAGACAGCAAGAGUGAGCUCACAUACGUUCAUCGCUCAACAAGUUGUGGGGAAUAAUGUGCAUGAACUCGCCAAAGGCGGGAGCUCACGUGAAGUGUAAGGCUUACCAAAGAGGAUGGUUAGAGCUGAGCAUUGCUUUUAAAGUUGGUCAAAAUUUUAUUAGCAAUUACUAAGUAUAAGUAAAUACCAACCCAAUUAAGUAGUAGAACAAAAGUAACAACUUCACCUGCGAUGCAAUGCAUAUGACAAAUUGAAUUUAGUUCCAUAAGUUAAUCAUCAGAGAGUCCUGAGCUGCUCAUGACCGUGAGCUCGGCUAGUAUACCAGUUUUACACUCUGCAGAGGUGGUACCCUUUACCCACAAGUCAUGUUACCCGUCUGCCAAGGGAUCGCGACUUCCCAUACACCUCUACCGAGGAGGCGAGGCAGGGUAACACUACGAGGCCUUUACAAAGUUCCACUAGCUUCAGAAAACCCGCUACAGUUUAUAGGAAGCUCCAAUGCAGGAAUCCCUUGCAGGACCUCCAUCGCAGCAAAAUCCUCCCGAGGGCCUCCCUACACUGACCACUCCCCUACUGCCCUUGCCCCUUUCGGGUAAGGUAGUCCUCCACUAGCUUUCCUAAUUAAUCAGUCAAGGGCGUCCAUAAACCCUUGUGGUGGCACGUGUUUCUCAAGUUAAGCUCUAUGUUCCAAUUAACAUUUAAUGAUCUUGUCAUGAACAUAAAUAGAAUAACAACAUAAUUGGAACAUAGAUGUAAUGAAAUAUUAACCCAAAACCAUAUAAAGCAGUAGCAGAACUACCCAAGUGAUUCAGGGGUAAACAAGGUAUUCAGGAUGAACAAACUAGGGUGACCUAUUGGGUCCCAUCAAAAUUAACCUAUGCAGAUCAUUAUGAUUAAUCAGAACAUGAGUAGGUAAAAAGAAGUGAUCAAGGGCACAACUUUCCUGGGACUUGAGAUUCCAGGUACCAGGAUGAUCUUCAGGUGACACGUGUUCUCACUGCUAAACGUAGCAAUAUAGACAAACAUGUAUAGGCAAAAUUAACAUCACACCAAACAUGAGAAUAAACUAUGUAAUAAUAUUCUACAUUGCGCAACAAGAUCGUAGAAACAAGAACCACUAAAUUUGGAGCUACGGUUACCGAGUUAUGAAUUUCUGAAAUUAUUUAGUGCUUAGAAUAGAUUAAUCCAAAUGAAUAAUUUUAAUUCAAGUUUCAUGGCUAAACAGUGUUACUAGUUGGUAGAAAAUAUUAAUACAAAAUUAUUGCAACUGGAAUGGCUCAAUUUGGAGAUAAAAUGAAUUAUAUACGAAUUAUACAAGUUUCUAGUAUUAUCUUUGUAUUAAAAAUCAUUUUAUAUACUUAAUUUUCUAUUUUUAUUGGUCUCUGGACUGGGCACCAAAUAAUACAAAACUCAGGGUCCAAUCUGUAACAAUUCCCUAGACACAAAUUAACCCACAGAUGGACGGCGGGUUAAUUAUUAAAAUGUCCAGGGUCUCUUUAGCAAAAGUUCUCGGGCGAAGGGGUAUAGGCUUAUCUGAGCCGUAGGAUCGAAAUCUUGCGCUCGCGAUUAAACAGGGGUUUUGAUGAAGCGGUAUACAUUCCAGUCCACCGGAUCCUGAUCCAAGGAUCAAGAAUCGAUGAAGCGAAUGGGUUUACGAGGCCCUGAUCUGAGUCGUCCAAUAAUCGAUCAAUGGUCACGAUGAGACACGAGCAUACUGGCUCAUCAGAUUGAAUCUAGGUCAUGGAAUCCUGAUCGGACGAUCCGAAAUGAUCCCGCCGAAGGGGUGAGAGCGCGCCUAAUCGCAACCGCCCGAUAGGGAUCGGAUGGCCAGGAGCCGUUCUCCUUCCCCGAGCUCCCCGAUCGGACGGCGCGGUGACCCGCCGCAGCGGCGCCAUGGGCAACCACCGUGCGGAGCCCGCUCCCAAGCAGGGACCCCAAAUACUAUUGCGUAAAAACAAAAUUCGGGUGACAAAGAACAGACAGGAGGAAUCUCACCGUUGAUUGUCGCACGGACAGCCCCGGCCACGGCAGAGUGCGGACGGCGGCGAUGAUUCAACUCCGAUGAGGAAUUCAGCGCACCCGAGAUGACCCCGAUUGCUGUCGAUCCCCGUGUAAGCUUCCAAGGUCCCUUGGUGACGACACACGGGCCCCCACUGAGGCUAAGUCGGCGGCGAAUCGAAGUUGGCCCGCGGCGGCGGCGAAUGGCCAGAGAGGGGCGCGCGGCAGCAGGGGUUCUAGAGAACAGGGAUGUCGCGAGCGAGGACGAGGAGAGAGAGGAGGUCGCGGGGGUAUGGAGCGAACGCGCCAAUUUAUACCCCGCAGUAGCGCGCGGAGUCCGAGCUUGGCCGACCCGGAAUUCCGCGUAGGUGGUUGCGGUCAGCGCCACGGAUGCGCGGAGGUGGAGCUCGCGCAGACCAGCGGGUUUAUGGGCGAGCAGGGCUGUAGUGCCGCGGAUCCCGGCCGCCAAUCCGAUCCACGCCCACGACUCCCGCGCGCAGUGCUCGGUUCGUUGCAAUCGCUCCGAUUUCGGCGCGCGGACUUCGCACGAUUCAACGGCCGGAACCACCCGACAAAUGCGCGGGAAGAAGGUGGCGCAUGGUAGGAGGUAGCGAUAGCACCGCGGACAGUUGAGGAGGAAUCCCGUCGCGAGCCAUGAGCGAUAUAUACGAAAGUCUGUUGGAUUGAGGGCGGCAGUGGAUGGAGCUCAAGCCUGGAAUCCGCCUGGAAGCACCGGUGUUCUGUUGAGGAAGAAGCCCUGACGAGGAUGGCCCACCAGCAGUGACAAGUAGACCACGGCGCGCGCCAGGAGACUGAGUUGCGGGGUCCGCAUGCCCAAAAGAGAAGCAGAGUUAGCAGAUCGCGCGGUGGAGCCGUUUGGUGGAAAAAUGGAGUUGGGCCACGCGAGCUAUUGGGCCGAGGCAGAUAGAAGGGGCCCAAGCCGAGACUCGCAUUUUUCUUUCCUUUUUAUAUUUUCUAUUUUCCCCAUUUUCUUAAUUUGUUUCAAAUUCAAAUUUGAUUCAGGUUCAACCAUAAAAUGGGAAUUGAUUGCAUAACAAAUGAAGUUCCACCAUGAAAUGUACAUUCCUAUAGUUAUUUAUUUUGUUAUGUAGCUAGCUUACUUCCUUUUAAAUUGAGCAUUCAAAAGCAUGAGAAAUCCCAAAAGGGGUUUUUUUAAAAAAAAAUCCCUAAAGCACAAUAUUAAAUUUAUUUAUUUAUUUUAUUUCAUUUUUUUUAUUUUUUUUAAACAAAAUUUGGGCUAUACACAUCUGCAGGUCCAUAGUCUGGCGGAAGGCACGUUUCCAGUAAGAAAAGGGGGUUGAUAUUCUAAAAGAUGAGGUUAUUUCGUUGCUUCCAAAUAUCCCAAGCAGUAGUAGAAAAGGUUUCCAUGAAAAAAGGCAAGCGGAAGUUCCCUCUGGCCAUCUGAAUCAUGUCAAAGAAACCGAAUUUUUUGUAUUUUGGUCAUUAAACAGAAGUAAAAUCACGUUUAGACCUUACAAAAUUUUAAUCUCAGAUUUGGAUCCUUAGCUCGGCGCCAUAACCUAUGGCGCCGAGGUAACACAUGUCGGCGCCAUAGAGUGUGGCGCCGAGCAAUGACGUGGCGAAGCUGAUGUGGCAGGCCGCGUGGCACCUAGCUCGGCGCCACAGAUCUUGGCGCCGAGCUAGGAUGAAAUCGCAAGGCUACCUCCUCACCGCGGUUUUCUGCCCACUGUCUCUGUUUUCUCUCCGCCGCCAUUAUCGCUGGCCGAGCCGCGCCGCCGCUGCCUCGCCGCCCCUCUGCCGGAGCACUCCCUCGCCGCCACGCCGAGGCGGCUCCCUCGCCGGCUGCUCGCUCGCCGCCCUCCAUGCCGACCGCUCCCUCGCCUCCACGCCGGCCGCCCUCCUCGCCGGCUGCUCGCUCGCCGCCCUCCACGCCGGCCGCCCUCCACGCUUGUCCCAUCGCCGCUCCCUCGCCGGCUGCUCGCUCGCCGCCCUCCACGCCGGCUGCUCAAGGUAUUUUAUUUAGUAAUUUUAAAAUAUUUUAUAUGUAUUUUUGUGUUAAUGUUUAGUUUGUUUUUAGUUAUUUAUAAUUAGUUCUCAUGUGCCAUUUAUUUGAUUUAUGUAUUUAUUGGUUAGUAAUGAGUUAGGUUUAGGUUAUUUAUUAGUUUUUAGUUAGUCAUUAGUGAGUAGUUAUUUAUUUUGUAGCCUAGUGUAAGGUUUGUGGUUUACUUGUAAGCAGUAGCUAGUGUUUAUUAACAUUGUUUAGCAUUUAUUUUGUAGCAUUUAUAUGUUCAGCCAUCGCGCUGAAGGUUUAUUUGCAGGUUUUAGAAACCUGACCAUAUAGGGGAGGUGCUGCCCAAUUUUUUUACUAUAUAGUGUUAGUCACAUACCAUAUUAAAUGGAUAUUGAGUUAGUAAUUGUCGGCGUUUCGAGACCGGGGAGUCCCUAAGCCGACGAGUGAAAUGUCGCCGCGUGCCCCAGCCCAGAUGGGUCGGCGCGAGGCCGAGCGCGAAGGGGGGAAGUGAGGUGGCCGGAGAUGGGCGUGAGAGAGGUGGAAAUCCCGCGGCCUUCAUGUUUGUCCCGCGCCCAGGUCGGGUGCGCUUGCAGUAGGGGGUUACAAGCGUCCACACGGGAGAGGGAGCGAGCGGCCUCACGCGAGCGCCUGUCUCGUCCUCGUCCCCGCGCGGCCAACCCUCUCUAAGAGGGCCUUGUUCCUUCCUUUUAUAGGCGUAAGGAGAGGAUCCAGGUGUACAAUGGGGGUGUAGCGGAGUGCUACGUGUCUAGCGGAGGAGAGCUAGCGCCCUAAGUACAUGCCGUUGUGGCAGCCGGAGAGAUUUUGGCACCCAGCUGGUGUGAUGUCGUGGCCGUCGGAGGAGCGCUGGAGCCUGGCGGAGGGACAGCUGUCAGAGCUGUUGAGUCCUUGCUGACGUCCUCUUGCUUCCGUAAGGGGGCUGAGAGCCGCCGUCGUCACAGAGUAUGCGGGGCGCCAUCAUUGCCUAUCUGGCGGAGCGAGCCAGAUGGGACGGCGGUCUUGUUCCCCGUGGCCCGAGUCAGCUUGGGGUAGGGUGAUGAUGGCGCCUCCUGUUGACGUGGCUGGUCUGCGCCCUAGGUUGGGCGAUGUGGAAGCUCCUCCGAAGCCAAGGUCGAGUCUGUCUUCCGUGGCCGAGGUCGAGUCCAAGCCCCUGGGUCGGGUGAGGCGGAGACCGUCGGCUGAGGUCAGGGCGGAGUCCGAGCCCUAGGGUCGGGCGGAGCGGAGUUUGUCGUCUUCUGGGGCUGAGCCUAAGUCCGAGCCCUGGGUCGGGCGGAGCGGAGUCCGUCGUCUUCUGGGGCUAAGCCCAAGUCCGAGCCCUGGGUCGGGCGGAGCGGAGUUCGCCGUCUUCUGGGACUUAGCCCGAGUCCGAGCCCUGGGUCGGGCGGAGCGGAGUUCGCCGUCUUCCGGGACUUAGCCCGAGUCUGAGCCCUAGGUCGGGCGGAGCGGAGUUCGCCGUCUUCCGGGGCUUAGCCUGAGUCCGAGCCCUGGGUCGGGCGGAGCGGAGUUCACCGUCUUCCGGGACUUAGCCCUAGUCCGAGCCCUGGGUCGGGCGAAGCGGAGCUUCCUAUGGUGCCUGCGGCCGGGCCUGACUGCCUGUCAGCCUCACUCUGUCAAGUGGCACCGCAGUCGGAGCGGCGCAGGCGGCGCUGUCUUUCUGUCAGGCCGGUCAGUGGAGCGGCAAAGUGACGGCGGUCACUUCGGCUCUGUCGGCUGAAGGGUGCGCGUCAGGAUAAAGGCGUCAGCCUGCCUUUGCAUUAAAUGCUCCUGCGAUUUGGUCGGUCGGCGCGGCGAUUUGGUCAAGGUUGCUUCUUGGCGAAGACAGGGCCUCGGGCGAGCCGGAAAUACGUUAGCCGCUGGAGGGGGGCCUCGGGCGAGGCGGAGAUCCUCCGGGGUCGGCUGCCCUUGUCCGAGGCUAGGCUCGGGCGAGGCGUGAUCGUGUCCCUCGAAUGGACCGAUCCCUGACUUAAUCGCACCCAUCAGGCCUUUGCAGCUUUAUGCUGAUGGGGGUUACCAGCUGAGAAUUAGGAGCCUUGAGGGUACCCCUAAUUAUGGUCCCCGACAUUAGCCCCCGAGCCUCGUAGGGAGUGUUAGCACUCGCUUGGAGGCUUCCGUCGCACUUUUUUGCAAGGGGACCAGCCUUUCUCGGUUACGCUUUGUUCCGGUGGGUGCGCGCGAGCGCACCCGCCGGGUGUAGCCCCCGAGGCCUCGGAGGAGUGGUUUGACUCCCCCGAGGUCUUAUUGCCUCGCGUAAUGCUUCGGCUGGUCUGGUCGUUCCCUCAUGCGAGCUGGCCAUAGCCCGGGUGUACGGUCGGGUCCCAAGUUCUCAGGCUGGUAUGUUGACGCUGUCAACGGUUCGGCCGGAGCCGGGUUUGCGAGAGCAGCCCCCGAGCCUCUGCACAGGGCGAGAGGGCGAUCAGGGACAGACUCGACUUUUUUACAUACGCCCCUGCGUCGCCUUUCCGCAAGGAGGACGGGGGGAAAGCGCCAUGUUGCCCUCGGUGGGCGCCGAACAUGGUGUCUCCGGUGAGCUGCAGGCGGGUAAUCCGAGUGGACGUCCGUGCCCCAUUCGUUAGGGGUCGGCUAGAGGCCCAGAGGCGCGCCCAAAAGUACCUGCGGAUGAUCUGCCGGACCCGGUCCCCUGGCGACGGGGUCCGAGGGCUCGAUGCCUCCCUCUGAUGGGAUUCCGUUACAAGAUCGUUCCCGCUGGUCUCGGAAAUGUCCUAGGGUACCUCGGGAGCGCAGCCCGAGCCUUGGUUAUGUAUCGAACGUACCCAUGGUCAUCCCUCGCUCUGUGUCUGAGGCGGCUGUGAACCCUUCGGGGGCCAGCCUUCGAACCCCUGAUCAGUAGUGGGCGCGGAGCCCGAGUAGCCUGAGGCAGUCGUUGAACCCUUCCGAGGGGCCGGCCUUCGAACCUCUGACCAGUAGUGGGUGUAGAGCCCACGCGAUCUGAGGCAGCUGUCGAACCCUUCCGAGGGGCCAGCCUUCGAACCUCUGAUCAGUAGGGAGGCUCGGAGCCUGGUUCCUUCACGGGGAAGGAUCCUUUUUGGGGUAUCCCCCUUUCCCGGUCCCUGUUGCAAGAGAGAGAAAGAGGAAAAAAGGAAAAGGAUACGAAAUCGAACGACGCGGCGUACCUUUUUUGACGCGGUCAUUAUGGCGAAGGCGAAGCGUCGCUCGCUUCUCCUGCCAGAGGCGCCGCCUGUCCCGCCGCGGAGUUAAUGCGACGGGGCGAGUGGUUCGCAGGGCGGCCGUUGCGCGUGCGCGAGCCGUUCAAGGAACGGAACACGAGCGUGUUGUCUUCACGCCGUGAGAGAGGGUUCUCUCGUUGCCCCGGGAUGGGACGUAAGCUUGGCUGACGACGUGACCGCUGCUCCUGCCCGCUUGCCACCGCCAUUACUGCCGGCCCAUUUUUGGCCACAUUGACCGUCGCGCCAGGCUGGCGCUGCUGGGUCGUGCGCUGGGUCGCCUCGAGUCGCGGUAUUGGUUCCGCAGUCGAGGAGGCGAGGUGGUAGCGCAAGUGGCGGUGCAGUUGCGUGCACGAAGUAUUCGGCGCGCCGGUUGCAUGACACGUGGGCCUUGGCCUCCAUGCUGGGCGUGUUGGGAGUCGGAGAAGUGCACCCACUUUGCGCGGUUGCAUGCCGCCUGCAUGGCUGCCCGCCCUUUUGCCCGCUGGUCUGGGCAAAAGUGGAGAGCCGCUUGUAACCGCUGGGCGGUUGCACGCGCCGCGCACGGCGGUUUGGCUUCUUCUGCUCUGAGCCGGCUUGCAUGACGUGUGGGACCCAGCCCCCACGCCGUAGGGGAGGACCUUGGAGCGUGUUGGAGGAGACUCAGCCCACGACGAUUGGGGACGCAAGUAGGGAGAGUCGCCUUUAAAAGGAGGGUGACCCCCUUGAAGGCGACCACGUCUUCGCGCUCCCUUAUGCAUCGUGCCUUUCCACCUUCCAAGCCCCCGGAUGGGGGAUGCUCGCAGUCUUUCCGCCUUGCCGUUGGCGGAACACAACUCCGCGGGAGUUGGUACCUUUCAGCCAUCGUUCGGCUUCAUGGAUUUUCAUCAGCCAGCCCGGCUGUACCCCUCCGCCGGCGGUCACCCGAGACGGUGACCACCAGCCCCUGGGUGGGGAGAAGCAAGCCGGGCUGCGAUCUUGGUCCCACCCUCAGCUUCAAGGAUGUUCAUCAUCCUCGCUGGGGUGGAGGCCGGGCUGAGCCGGAGCUCUACCUCCCGCGCGGGUUCGUGGGUCGGCCUCUCCUGCGGCGUUCGAGGGAGAGGGCGCUCACUGGCCCUGCGGGCGGGUCGGACUUCGACAACGCGGGGCUGGUCGACGGCGGGCGUCGUCAGCCUCAGCGCGUCGGGCUCGUCGGCUUGGCUCCCGGUGCCCCCUCCUGCCGGAAGGCGGCUGCGGCGCCGUGUGCACGGGAGGACCGCCCAAGAUGUCGCGCGCUGCCAGGGCGACGUUCGUGUUCUGGGGCGGUCCUGCCUUUGCACCGGUACGGCGCCUCCACGCGGAGGUCGGUGCCCCACUCGUCCGGGAGGAUCUGAGUGGGGAUCUGCCGGAGGGCUGAUGGCCCCUGUCGUCGGUGCCGAGGUGGAGGCGGCUCGAGAAGUCCCCAUUGCCGACGGGAUCACCGCCACCAUCCGCGCUUCGGGCCUCCGGCUCUUUGUACUUGUCCUCGCCCCUCGAGCGUCGGCGUGGGCGAGGGCAAGAUUGCAGCAGCAUCCGCCCUGAGGCCCUCGCUGCUGCAGUUCGGCCACCCGGAGCGGGGGUCGUUGUUGCUGCUGCCGGAGCGGGCGACGGCCAGCCGCCCGUCGGUCUUCUGUUGCUCCGCAGGCCCCCCCAUCGAGUGGGGUUGUUCGUACCUGCGGAGGUGGAACCGGAGUUCCGUUUGUAAUGGCACUUUGAAUGCCAGUGUUUUUGUUCAUUGUGGCUGUCGAGGCCGGAACAUGUAUGUAUUUUUUCCUCAUUUUUGAGCACUAAGACUCGCCUGUUGGUUGUCUGAACCGCUUCACCAAGCGUGAGUCGCCCCGGAGGCGUAGGAGUCCCUCGGCUCGGUCAGCCUUGUUGCCCGAGGCUUCUCUUGCUCAGUUAAAGGAACCCCUCGGCCGCUCUUCGAUGAGCCGAGGCCAGGGGUAGCGGUGUCAGCGCGAACAGAGGCAGAGUUGGCUCGGAAAGAAGACCUGGUCGGCCGGAGCCUGGCCGGGUCGUCCGUUAGCGGGACCGACGCCGGAAUUGACCUACCGAGGCCUCGGGUCGGGCUGAUGUCCUCGGGGGACAGCUGGCCGAGGCCUCGAGGUGGCCAGCCGAGCCGCCUGCCCGAGCCAGAUUCUCGGAGAAGACCCUGGCGGCGACGGCCCGGGCUUGGUGAUGACGUUGUCCUUCAGAGCGGAGACCCUUGGACUGCGUCGCCGUCCGAGGCUAGGUCGGACCUCGCCGAAGGUGUUGUCGACGCCGAGGGUGCUGCUGCUCCCUUCAAGCGUCAAGAUCCAAGCCUGCAGGAUCGGAUCAUCUUGUAGCGCGUGUUUUCUGCGGCCGCCGAGGCCAAAACACACCCUCGCCGUGUUGUAAAGCUGCGCCUCCUUUCCUCUUAUUUCGAGUAUCUGGACUUUUUUGUCGGUAACAGAAUUGUUUGUGCGAGCGAGAGUUGCUUUUCACGGAAGGUGAUGAGUGAGGUACCGGUAUCCCGGAGGCGUAGGAGUCCCUCGGCUCGGUCGGCCUUGCCACUUACGCGCACUCUUACCCGUCCAUGGGGUUCUGUCACCGACGCAGUCGAGAAGGCUCGAAGAAUUGCUCCGGCAGAAGAGCUUCCGAGCGUGAAGACUUGUUCGGUCCGCGGAAUCACUUAUCCGAACGUGAGUUACUUAUCGCAGAAGGUGAUGAGUGAGGUAUCCGUAUCCUAGAGGCGUAGGAGUCCCUCGGCUCGGUCAGCCUUGGCUGCUUAUGUGUACUCCGUCGUUCUCAGGAUCCACUUUCGAAGUAGUCGAAAAGCACGAAAGACAUUCUGGCAGAAAAGAUUUUUUUUCGAGGAAAAAUUUCGACGCAGAGGGGGUUCUCCCCUUUUAGCCCCCGAGGGAGGGUCGAACUUUGUCGAGGCAAGGCCGACCCUUCCUUGAUGACUAAACUUUGCGUAGGAGCGAGGUAUAUGAACAACUUGAAAACAUCUUAAGGGUAGAAGCGACGUAGCUGUUGGAUGUUCCAAGCGUUGCUGUAGACCUCGCCUUGACUGUUGGCCAGCUUGUACGUUCCGGGCUUCAGAACUUUGGCAAUGACGAAUGGCCCCUCCCAUGGGGGCGUGAGCUUGUGUCGCCCUCGGGCGUCUUGUCGCAGCUGAAGCACCAGGUCGCCCACCUAGAGGUCUCGGGACCGGACCCCUCGGGCGUGGUAGCGUCGCAUGGACUGCUGGUACCGCGCCGAGUGUAGUAAGGCCCAGUCCCGAGCCUCUUCCAGCUGGUCCAGCGAGUCUUCUCGACUAGCUUGGUUGCUUUGGUCGGCAUAGGCCCUUGUCCUCGGGGAACCAUAUUCCAGGUCUGUGGGCAAGAUGGCCUCGGCCCCAUAGACUAGAAAGAACAGCGUGAAGCCCGUGGCUCGGCUCGGUGUUGUCCUCAGGCUCCAGGCCACCGAGGGGAGUUCCUUCAUCCAUCGCUUGCCGAACUUGUUGAGGUCGUUGUAGAUCUGAGGCUUGAGUCCUUGUAGAAUCAUGCCGUUGGCACGCUCUACUUGCCCAUUCGUCAUGGGAUGAGCCACGACGGCCCAGUCCACCCGGAUGUGGUGCUCCUCGCAGAAGUCCAGGAACUUUCUGCCGGUGAACUGGGUGCCGUUGUCGGUGAUGAUGGAGUUCGGGACCCCGAAACGAUGGAUGAUGUUGGUGAAGAACGCCACCGCCUGCUCGGACCUGAUGCUGUUUAGGGGUCGGACCUCGAUCCACUUGGAGAAUUUGUCGAUGGCGACCAACAGGUGCGUGUAGCCCCCGGGUGCCUUCUGCAAGGGGCCGACGAGGUCCAGACCCCACACAGCAAAAGGCCAGAUGAUGGGUAUCGUCUGCAGAGCCUGAGCGGGCAGGUGGGUCUGCCUUGCGUAGAACUGACAACCUUCGCAGGUGCGGACGAUUCUUGUGGCGUCGGCCACCGCCGUCGGCCAGUAGAAACCUUGUCGAAAAGCAUUUCCGACAAGGGCUCGAGGUGCUGUGUGAUGGCCGCUAGCCCCCGAGUGUAUCUCUCGGAGGAGUUCCUGACCUUCGGUGAUGGAGAUGCAUCGCUGGAGGAUGCCUGAGGGGCUGCGGUCGUAGAGCUCCUUCCCAUCUCCCAGUAAGACGAACGACUUGGCGCGCCGCGCCAACCGCCGAGCUUCGGCUCGGUCGAGGGGUAGUUCUCCUUGGCGGAGAUAUUGCAGGUACGGGGCCUGCCAGUUUUGAUCAGGCGCGACCCCACUUUGCUUCCCCUCGACGUGCAGCGUCUCGCCCUCGGGGGCCGAGGGUACCUCGGGCUGAACCGAGGGCGCCUCGGGCCGAGCCGAGGGUGCCUCGGACUGAGCCGAGGGAACCUCGGGCUGGACCGAGGGUGUUUCGGGCUCGGGCGUGUCGUCGAUCUUGACGGAGGGUUGAUGCAGGUCUCGGGAGAAGACGUCCGGGGGAACCGUUGUCCGCCCCGAGGCUAUUUUAGCCAGCUGGUCCGCAGUCUCGUUGUAGCGCCGGGCGAUGUGGUUGAGCUCGAGCCCGUAGAACUUGUCUUCCAGGCGCCGAACCUCAUCGCAAUAGGCCUCCAUCUUCGGGUCGCGGCAGUGGGAGUUCUUCAUGACUUGGUCGAUGACGAGCUGCGAGUCACCGCGAGCGUCGAGGCGUCGGACCCCUAGCUCGAUGGCGAUCCGCAACCCGUUGACCAAAGCCUCAUACUCGGCCACGUUGUUGGACGCUGGGAAAUGGAGGCGUAGCACAUAGCGUAUGUGCUUCCCGAGGGGCGAGAUGAAGAGUAGGCCUGCGCCGGCUCCUGUCUUCAUCAGCGACUCGUCGAAGAACAUGGUCCAGAGCUCCGGCUGGAUCGGAGCUGUUGGGAGCUGAGUGUCGACCCAUUCAGCUACGAAGUCCGCCAAGACCUGGGACUUGAUGGCCUUCCGAGGGGCGAACGAGAUUGCCUCGCCCAUGAUUUCCACCGCCCACUUUGCAAUCCUACCCGAGGCCUCCCGGCACUGGAUGAUCUCCCCCAGGGGGAAAGAUGACACCACAGUUACCGGAUGAGACUCGAAGUAGUGUCGCAACUUCCGCCGUGUCAGGAUCACCGCAUACAGCAGCUUCUGAACUUGUGGGUAGCGAACCUUGGUUUCGGACAGUACCUCGCUGACGAAGUAGACUGGCCUCUGAACGGGCAAUGCAUGCCCCUCUUCUUGCCUCUCGACCAUAAUCGCGGCGCUAACCACCUGGGUGGUCGCGGCGACGUAGAUCAAGAGGGCUUCUCCGGCAGCCGGGGGCACCAAGAUAGGCGCCUUCGUGAGGAGCGCCUUCAGGUUCCCAAGGGCUUCCUCGGCCUCAGGGGUCCAAGUGAAGCACUCGGCUUUCCUUAAGAGGCGGUACAGAGGCAGGCCUCUUUCACCGAGGCGCGAGAUGAAGCGGCUCAGAGCCGCAAGACAUCCCAUGACCCUCUGUACGCCUUUCAAGUCCUUGAUGGGCCCCAUGCUGGUGAUGGCUGCGAUCUUCUCCGGGUUGGCUUUGAUGCCUCGCUCGGAGACAAUAAACCCCAAGAGCAUGCCUCGGGGCACCCCGAAGACACACUUUUCGGGAUUGAGCUUGACGCCUUUCGCCUUGAGACAUCGGAAUGUCACUUCAAGGUCGGAAAGGAGGUCGGAGGCUUUCCUCGUCUUGACUACGAUGUCAUCGACGUAGGCCUCAACCGUGCGGCCAAUGUGUUGGCCGAACACAUGGUUCAUGCACCGCUGGUACGUCGCACCCGCAUUCCUCAAGCCGAACGGCAUGGUGACAUAGCAGUACAUGCCGAAGGGCGUGAUGAAAGAAGUCGCGAGCUUGUCGGACUCCUUCAUCCUGAUUUGGUGAUACCCUGAGUAGGCAUCAAGGAAAGACAGGGUUUCGCACCCAGCAGUGGAAUCCAUGAUUUGAUCGAUGCGAGGCAGAGGGUAGGGAACCUUCGGACAUGCUUUGUUCAGACCAGUGUAGUCUACACACAUCCGCCAUUUCCCCCCUUUCUUUCUCACAAGCACAGGGUUGGCAAGCCAUUCGGGAUGGAAUACCUCUUUGAUGAACCCUGCCGCCAUUAGCUUGUGGAUCUCCUCGCCUAUGGCUCUGCGCUUUUCUUCGUCGAAUCGGCGCAGAGGCUGCUUGACGGGUCGGGCUCCGGCUCGGAUGUCCAGCGAGUGCUCAGCGACAUCCCUCGGUAUGCCGGGCAUGUCCGAGGGACUCCACGCGAAGACGUCGGCGUUCGCGCGGAGAAAGUCGACGAGCACUGCUUCCUAUUUGGGACCGAGCUCGGAGCCGAUCCGGAUCUGCUUGGAGGCGUCGCCGCUGGGGUCGAGGGGGACGGACUUAACCGUCUCCGCAGGCUCGAAGUUGCCGACAUGACGCUUUACGUCUGGCACCUCCUUAGAGAGGCUCUCCAGGUCGGCGAUGAGGGCCUCGGACUCGGUGAGGGCCUCAGCGUACUCCACGCACUCCACGUCGCAUUCGAACGCGUGUUUGUACGUGGGGCCGACGGUGAUGACCCCGUUGGGGCCCGGCAUCUUGAGCUUCAGGUAGGUGUAGUUGGGGACGGCCAUGAACUUCGCGUAGCACGGCCUUCCCAGUACCGCGUGGUAGGUUCCUCGGAACCCGACCACCUCGAAUGUCAGGGUCUCCCUUCGGAAGUUGAAGGGUGUUCCGAAGCAGACGGGAAGGUCGAGUUGUCCGAGGGGCUGGACGCGCUUCCCGGGGAUGAUCCCAUGGAAGGCGCAGCGCCUGCCCGGACCGAGGACAGAUCGACACGCAGGAGCCCGAGGGUCUCGGCGUAGAUGAUGUUGAGGCUGCUGCCUCCGUCCAUGAGGACCUUGGUGAGCCUAACGUCGCCGAUGAUGGGGUCGACGUCGAGCGGGUAUUUCCCCGGGCUCGGCACAUGGUCGGGGUGGUCGGCUUGGUCGAAGGUGAUGGGCUUGUCGGACCAGUCUAAGUAGACUGGCGCCGCCACCUUCACAGAACAGACCUCCCGGCGCUCUUGCUUGCGGUGCCGAGCCGAGGCGUUUGCCGCUUGCCCACCGUAGAUCAUGAAGCAGUCGCGGACCUCGGGGAACUCUCCUGCCUGGUGAUCUUCCUUCUUGUCGUCGUUGCGGGCCCUGCCACCCUCCGCGGGUGGCCCGGCCCUGUGGAAGUGGCGCCGAAGCAUGAUGCACUCUUCAAGGGUGUGCUUGAUGGGCCCCUGGUGAUAGGGGCACGACUCCUUGAGCAUCUUGUCGAAGAGGUUGGCAACUCCGGGGGGUUUCCGAGGGUUCUUGUACUCGGCGGCGGCGACAAGGUCCGCGUCGGCGGCGUCGCGUUUCGCUUGUGACUUCUUCUUGCCCUUCUUCUUGGCGCCGCGCUGAGUUGAUGCCUCGGGGGCAUCUUCCGAUGGGCGGCCCUGGGGCUGCUUGUCCUUCCGGAAGAUAGCCUUGACCGCCUCCUGGCCGGAGGCGAACUUGGUGGCGAUGUCCAUCAGCUCGCUCGCCCUGGUGGGGGUCUUGCGACCCAGCUUGCUCACCAGGUCGCGGCAGGUGGUGCCAGCGAGGAACGCACCGAUGACAUCCGAGUCGGUGAUGUUGGGCAGCUCGGUGCGCUGCUUCGAGAAUCGCCGGAUGUAAUCCCAAAGAGACUCUCCAGGCUACUGUCGGCAGCUUUGGAGGUCCCAGGAAUUCCCGAGGCGCACGUACGUGCCCUGGAAAUUGCCGGCGAAAGCUUGGACUAGGUCGUCCCAGUUGGAGAUCUGCCCCGGAGGCAGGUGCUCCAACCAGGCGCGGGCGGUGUCGGAGAGAAACAGGGGGAGGUUGCGGAUGAUGAGGUUGUCAUCGUCCGUUCCACCCAGUUGGCAGGCCAGACGGUAGUCCGCGAGCCACAGUUCUGGUCUCGUCUCCCCCGAGUAUUUUGUGAUAGUAGUCGGGGGUCAGAACCGGGUCGGGAACGGCGCCCGUCGUAUGGCCCGGCUGAAGGCCUGCGGACCGGGUGGUUCGGGCGAGGGACUCUGAUCCUCCCCGCUGUCGUAGCGUCCCCCACGCCUGGGGUGGUAGCCUCGGCGUACCCUCUCGUCGAGGUGGGCUCGACGGUCGCGGGGAUGGUGCUCGUUGCCGAGGCGACCCGGGGCCGCAGGUGCUAUGUUGCGUGUGCGCUCGGGGUAAACCGAGGCUUCCCGCAUGAAUCGGGAAGUCGCGACAUGAGGUUCCGAGGGGUACCCCUGCCUUCGGGAGGCGGAGCUCUAGGCCCGUCGGACCGCGGCGCCUUCCAGGAGAUUCUUGAGCUCUCCCUGGAUUCGCCGCCCCUCGGUGGUUGAUGGCUCCGGCAUCGCGCGGAGGAGCAUUGCUGCUGCAGCCAGGUUCUGGCCAACCCCACUGGAUGCGGGUGGCGGCCUGACCCUGACGUCGUCGGCGAUGCGGUGCUGGAAGCCCUGGGGUAGAUGACGUAUUUCUCCGGCCGGAGGCUGGCCCGCCCAUUCCUGCCCGACGUCCCGGCGAAUCGGCUCAAGCGCUCCUGCUCCCUCGUCGAGCCUGGCCUGCACCCCGCGGAUUUGCUCGAGCUGUGGGUCAUGGCCCCCCGCCUGAACGGGGACCACAGCUAGCUCCCGUGGGAUGUCAACGCGAGGCACUGGCCUAGGGAGGUCACCGUCCUCCGGCAUGCCGAGAUGGUUGCCUUCGGAGGGACCCCCUAGAUCGACGUGGAAACAUUCGCGGCUUGGGCCGCAGUCCUCGUCGCCGAGGCUACGACUACCGUCGGAACAGUCGGAAAGGCAGUAGUCGCAUGCGGUCAUGAAGUCCCGCAUGGCACUGGGGUUGCCGAGUCCGGAGAAAUCCCAACAGAAGCUGGGCUCGUCGUCUUCCUCGGACCCGGAGGGCCCGUAGGUCGAGACGUCCGUCAGCCGGUCCCAAGGUGACCGCAUACGAAACCCCAGAGGGUUCGGACUCGCCUCUACGAGAGCGUCCGCCAAAGCGAAGCCGCUAGGCGGGUCGAGGCUGAAUCCAAAAGGCAUGGGAUGGGAAUCGGUCGGUACCUCUUGGUCGACAGGCGGUGAUGAAGUCACGUCGGGGACUGACUGCACCGUCGUCUCAGGUACGAGGGUGACGUCCAGCAAGCCUUUCACUAGCGUGCCGGCGUCGUCCGUUUGCUCGGAAUUGGCGUGUCGCGGGGAGACGGCGCUCGCCUUCGUCUCAAACGCGAGUUUGAUGCCCGACGCGCCCCCCGUUGGGGCGCUGGGGCCGUUGACUCGCUCGACAGCCGACGAGGCGCUGCCUCCCACUUGGCCUUGGUUGCCCCGCCUCCUCCUCCGUUGGCGGGGGAGAGGACGGGGCGAGCUCGAAUGUUGUUCUUCCACCACGAGGGGAAGACGUCGUCGAUUCCGCCGCCGGCGGGCGGGCUGUCGGCCGCCAUUGUCGCGGUCGUCCGGCGGUGGAAGGAGUAUCAUGUCGUAGCCGCCGUCGAGGGACAUGAACUCAAGGCUCCCGAAACGGAGCACCGUCCCGGGUCGGAGAGGUUGCUGGAGACUGCCCAUCUGGAGCUUGACGGGAAGCUGUUCGUCAACACGCAGCAGGCCCCUACCUGGCGUGCCAACUGUCGGCGUUUCGAGACCGGGGGGUCCCUAAGCCGAUGAGUGAAAUGUCGCCGCGUGCCCCAGCCCAGAUGGGUCGGCGCGAGGCCGAGCGCGAAGGGGGGAAGUGAGGUGGCCGGAGAUGGGCGUGAGAGAGGUGGAAAUCCCGCGGCCUUCGUGUUCGUCUCGCGCCCAGGUCGGGUGCGCUUGCAGUAGGGGGUUACAAGCGUCCACACGGGAGAGGGAGCGAGCGGCCUCACGCGAGCGCCUGUCUCGUCCUCGUCCCCGCGCGGCCAACCCUCUCUAAGAGGGCCCUGGUCCUUCCUUUUAUAGGCGUAAGGAGAGGAUCCAGGUGUACAAUGGGGGUGUAGCGGAGUGCUACGUGUCUAGCGGAGGAGAGCUAGCGCCCUAAGUACAUGCCGUUGUUGCAGCCGGAGAGAUUUUGGCACCCAGCUGGUGUGAUGUCGUGGCCGUCGGAGGAGCGCUGGAGCCUGGCGGAGGGACAGCUGUCGGAGCUGUUGAGUCCUUGCUGACGUCCUCUUGCUUCCGUAAGGGGGCUGAGAGCCGCCGUCGUCACAGAGUAUGCGGGGCGCCAUCAUUGCCUAUCUGGCGGAGCGAGCCAGAUGGGACGCCGGUCUUGUUCCCCGUGGCCCGAGUCAACUUGGGGUAGGGUGAUGAUGGCGCCUCCUGUUGACGUGGCUGGUCUGCGCCCUAGGUUGGGCGAUGUGGAAGCUCCUCCGAAGCCGAGGUCGAGUCUGUCUUCCGUGGCCGAGGUCGAGUCCGAGCCCCUGGGUCGGGCGAGGCGGAGACCGUCGGCUGAGGUCAGGGCAGAGUCCGAGCCCUGGGGUAGGGCGGAGCGGAGUUCGUCGUCUUCUGGAGCUGAGCCUAAGUCCGAGCCCUGGGUCGGGCGGAGCGGAGUUCGUCGUCUUCUGGGGCUGAGCCCAAGUCCGAGCCCUGGGUCGGGCGGAGCGGAGUUCGCCGUCUUCUGGGACUUAGCCCGAGUCCGAGCCCUGGGUCGGGCGGAGCGGAGUUCGCCGUCUUCUGGGACUUAGCCCGAGUCCGAGCCCUGGGUCGGGCGGAGCGGAGUUCGCCGUCUUCCGGGACUUAGCCCGAGUCCGAGCCCUGGGUCGGGCGGAGCGGAGUUCGCCGUCUUCCGGGACUUAGCCCGAGUCCGAGCCCUGGGUCGGGCGAAGCGGAGCUUCCUAUGGUGCAUGCGGCCGGGCCUGACUGCCUGUCAGCCUCACUCUGUCAAGUGGCACCGCAGUCGGAGCGGCGCAGGCGGCACUAUCUUUCUGUCAGGCCGGUCAGUGGAGCGGCGAAGUGACGGCGGUCACUUCGGCUCUGUCGGCUGAAGGGUGCGCGUCAGGAUAAAGGCGUCAGGCUGCCUUUGCAUUAAAUGCUCCUACGAUUUGGUCGGUCGGCGCGGCGAUUUGGUCAGGGUUGCUUCUUGGCGAAGACAGGGCCUCGGGCGAGCCGGAAAUACGUUAGCCGCUGGAGGGGGGCCUCGGGCGAGGCGGAGAUCCUCCGGGGUCGGCUGCCCUUGUCCGAGGCUAGGCUCGGGCGAGGCGUGAUCAUGUCCCUCGAAUGGACCGAUCCCUGACUUAAUCGCACCCAUCAGGCCUUUGCAGCUUUAUGCUGAUGGGGGUUACCAGCUGAGAAUUAGGAGCCUUGAGGGUACCUCUAAUUAUGGUCCCCGACAGUAAUCCAUUUUUGCAAUAGAUGGACACCCUAGUGACACUAUACCAUGGAGGAAGCGUGGGGAUAGAUGUGUAUGGGAGUGUUACUUUUGAUGGUAUGAAGAUCGUGACCAUGUUGUUCGAUGAAAGACCAUCUUUUGACAAGAUUUUUGCUCGAGCUUGUGAGGAGAUUAGUUGCGACAUAAACGACCCUGGAAUAUCAAUUCAGGGUUUGUUGUCCCAUAUUACAUAUGGAACAGUUGUCCGACGGUUGAUCUCCAUUGGCUCAGAAGAUGAUUGGGUGAGAUAUGUAAGAAUCGUGAAGACCAUGCUUCUACCAUGUUUGGAUGUGGUUGUUCAGCCGUUAUCUGUUACUCAUCGUGAUGCUCCAGUCGGGUUGACUCCACAAAUUCCCAAUGCAUCUCGUAUUGAAGCUCCUUUGGUAGAGCUUCAUGAAGAAGUGGUUGUUGUGCCCGAUGCUCAAUCGGGUCCGCACGAGUAUGGGAUUUCUCGUCCUCUUCCUGGCGUUUGUGGGGCUUCUAAUCCGGUGGUACCCCCAAGAGAUCCCAUUGACCCAGGAUCCAGUUCACGAUCAUCCUAGUAAGUGUCUUUGACACGUUGUUCGUAUCCAUCGUUAUUUCGUUUGAUUAGACUUUUUAAUGUGGUUUUUCUUGCUUCGACCCGAUGCAGGAUCUCCACAUAUCGAUAAUGCUGCUUAUCUUGAUGUGCCUGUGUCAUAUAAUAUGGACAACAUAUGCAGGGCAUCCAAUAGUGUUGAUGUUCAGAUUGAGGAUGAGGAGGAGCCAUAUGAGGCUGCACGGGCCUUAGAUUCUGAUGAUGACCGUCCGGUUCAAGAAAUGACCGAGCAAGAAAUUGAACUCAUAAGACGUUUGUGUCCGGAGCGUGACCCUGCAGUACAUGAAUUUAGCAGUUUAAGCCAUUCCACCCAUGCAUAUGCUGAAGGACGUGAUGAUGAACUGCUAGAGGCUCCGGAUAACACCGACAGCAUUGAGAUUAAGGUAGGCUUACUUUUCAAGGACCUGCCUACACUGAGACGAUGGCUACAGGAAUAUUCUGUGAACCGCAAGAGGCCAUGCAAGGUGAGACAUUCGUAUGCACAGCGUCGUUACACUGUUGUGUGCGAGGUGUCGGAAUGUAAUUGGAGGGUAUGUGCCCGAAGGCAGAAGGACACCGGAAAGUUUAAGAUCACCAAAAUUGUAGGUCCACACUUGUGCCCAGACAGAGCUGAGCUAUAAGCAUCGUCAGUUGACAUCUACCCUGAUUGCGAAAAGGAUAUUGGGGAUAUUGAAGGGUCAGCCAAACUUGAAGGUGAAGUCAAUUAUGACCAUGACUUCGGAGCUAUUUGGUUACAGGAUCAAAUAUGACCAUGACAUCUACCCAAGCCAGUCUGCCACAGUCACAGUUAGGCACGGGGAGUUCAGGAGGAACAGGAGCAUCCUUACUAGAUACGUCCGGAUAUAACUCCCGAGGACGACCUCUCUUCUGCCACAACGCCUCUCGGUACAUGUCUUUCAUCUAAUAAACGAUUAUAAUUAUCACUUGUACCUAAUAUGCUUUAUAAUAAGUUUACACAACCUAAUAAUCGAAAUGAUAAUAUAAUAGGUGUAUACAAACUAUUAAAAAUGAAACUAUGAGCAACUAUGAAACUAACAACCCAAUAUAAAAAACGAAUCAGUUGGACAUCAUACCUUGGUCUACGAAGUGAACCAACUCAAAUCUUUGAAUCCAGCAAAUUUUGACGAAGUUUGGAAAUGAGAUGAAAUGAGCUGCUCUUGGCCAGCCGCGCGGGCGUUUUUAUAGGAAUUCGUAGCUCGGCGCCAAGAUCUGUGUCGCCGAGCUACGAGGCCGCGCCGCCACCACGUCAGUGCCAGGUCAGCCCUAGGCGCAAGUAGCCGUUGCUGCCACGUCACAGCUCGGCGCCAUAGGCUGUGGCGCCGAGCUGUGUUACCUCGGCACCACAACCUAUGGCGCCGAGCAUCGGGUCCAAACGUGCAAAUAAAAUUUCUGGGGGUCCAAACGUAAAUUUUUGUCACGAAAGGGGUUAAAAUACAAAAAAUUCGGUCAAAGAAACUGAGAGAGAGAUUCCAAUGAAUUCUAAGAAGGUUCUAUUAUUCCUGGAUGAAGGAGCAUUGGAAGAAAAGAUGAAAAGUGGUUUCUUCACAUCUCAGAUCACAUAAGACAUAGAAAUAAUCAUUAUUGGCUACUUGAUUUUUUUUCUUCUCAGUAAGUUUCUGGAAUUAAGCUUAUCCUUGAAGAGCAACCAAACGAAGACCUUAAUAUUCUUACAAAUCGUAGCUUUCCAGACUCGUCUAAAAGGAGUUGGGGGUACUAUGGAUUCAAAAUUCCUUCUGUAAACUUUGUGAGCACGGAAGGAGUCGUCUAUCCAACAAUAUGUUCAUUUGUCUUUCCCAUUCAUGCCCUUGGUGAUCAUCUAAAUUUUAUCUAAAAAAUUAUGGAAUUCUUCCACGACCUCAAUUGAAAAAGGAGUGAAGAAAUUACUGUAAAUCUCUUUAUUUUCCAAAUAAUGGCUCAGGGAACAAUUCUAAUUCCAAACAUCAUUCCACAAAAAAAGGUUUUCCCAUCACCUGCCAAUGGGAUUGCCAGGCCCCUGUACCAGUCCAUUAAUUUACUGACAUCCUUCGACUAGAAAGAACCUCUCGGGGGGGGGGGGGGGGAGUAUGUCACACCCGAUUUUGGAAGGCAAACCGAAUGCGAACUAUGUAUGUGUCAAGAUCAGAAAUUCACGUACACAACGAUUACAUAAUUGGAUACCAUCACACAAUGCUCAAAUAAUAACGGAAAUAAAUAGUACUUUAUUACAUCAUGAUGUCUGAAACAUCCACAAAGUCAUUAAUUUAAACAAUAAUCCAAGUGCUAAACGAAACGUAGAACGAUAAGGUCUUCACACGCAACUAACUAGGGAUUUGCCGCUAAUCUACUCUAGAACUCAUCAUAGUCCUAAAACUCCUGAAUGUCCUCCACAUGACCUUCAUCUUCUCCUGAGAAGGGGUUGAAUGGGGACAACCAGGUGUUUGGUGUUUAAGGAAGGGUGAGUACACAUCAACGUACUCAACAAAUAUCCAGUUUGGCUAAAGUGGACUAGCUGUAUGUGGGGUGAAGCUCAAAGUAGUUGCUUUUAGUUCGUUGGGUAUUUAUUAUUAGUAGAAGCCAAGUUUUAGCAAUAAUCCCAAGUUAUUAUCCAAAAAGGUACUCCCUCAGUGAGGAAAUACAAGAAACCAUAAUUAUAAUCAUCAUCAUUAAACCACCGUCAUCUAGGUAUCUAGAAUAUCUCAAAUCAAAGGAGCUCCCAAGGUUGCUCAUAACUGUGAGCACGGCUGAUAUACCAGUUUCUAACCCUUUGCAGAGGUUGCACACUAUACCCACGAGUUGUGAUUCCCUUUCUACCCGAGGAGCGCUACCCCCCAUUGAUCACUUCCUAGGUGAUCUGGCAGGGUAUCACUACGUAGCCUUUACAAAGAUUCCCUAGAGGUCGUAGCCGCCCGUUAGGUUUCUCAAGUUUGAUUAACAUAAUACAUCUCCCCACAGGAGGGGUGACUAACAAAAGCAAAACGAACGAACCUCGACACCUAGCCUCGAUAGAGCAGAUGUUGUGCCCGGACCCCUUUGACGGCACAAUGGCGAAGCCGACUACACCUCGAGUUCCUCUAAUUAAUCAGUUAAGGGAGUCCCAUACCACCCUCAUAGUUAUACUGUUUUCCCGGGUGGUCAUCCAACGAACAUGUCCUUACGGAGUGGUGAUUGGAAAACAACCCGAGUCCCCUUUAGUUCCACAAGUUCAUCAUCAUAUCCACAGUAACAUCAUCGUAUCAUAAAGUAUUCUCAUCAUGUUCAUUGAUUAAAGUAAAGCACUAGCAUGAUAUUAAUCAUAAAAGCCAGUUCCCAAAGGAUAACCAAGGACAGGAUACACAGAAUUCUAGUCAAUACUUAGGUUGGUCAUGGUAUGCAGGACAGUGAAUUAUAAAGUAAUUAAGUAGGACAUAAUAGGUCAGAGGACACUUGUCUUCACCAAGUUGUUGCUCAGGGAAAUCUCCAGCAACUCCCUCGGGAACCACGGACUGCUCGUUGUUCACGCGAAGCAAUUUUUCGUUCAACACACUUGGGGAAUAACGAAAGAACAAUACACCAAAUAUAUGCAACACAGUGAACACAUGUAUAAUAAAAGGGUAAACACAUUCAAUUGCUUCCUAAGUUGAGGUAGGUUACUAUGCCAUGUGAUUUAUUGUUCCUUAACCAAGUCUAUCUUACUACAACACUUGAUCAAAUAUAGUUAGUUCAGGGAUGGGAUUAUACAUUAAAUAGGGUUGGGUUUAUAAAGUUAAGUAUUUGAACAUUUGCUAGGGGUUCCUAGCUUUAUUUUAUUUCUAUUAGGGUUCCUAUAGAAUCAACUCUAACCUAGAGAUCAACUAUAAAUUGAGACAUGAGAACAGUGGGUGGACAUUAUUUUAAUAGAUAGACAACAACAUAAUGAACAUUUUGCAAUUUGAAUCACCUAAUUUGGAGUUCAAAUGACAAAGUUACGCAUUUUGGAAGUUUAGAAUUCAAAAAUCCUAUUUUAAACACAUUUCUCUGAUUAAAUGAAAAUCUGAGGGUCUUUCUGCAAGAUUCCAGGGGCUCGGGCAUAAGAAAAAUGGACGUCGGGUUUAUUCUCAAGAAAUCAGGCGGGGUUCUUUAACAAAAAUGCCAAACGAAGGGGUAUCGGGCUCCCUCGGCCAUCGGAUCUUGGAUCCACGGUCGAGAUUAGAACCAGUGGGCGAGCGCGUGGGCGUGUAGAGCGCGGGCGACUAACAGGUGGACCCAAGGGUGGGGCGCGACGCUAACGAGCAGGGCUAGCGGCUCGGGUGAGUGGCCAAGCGUGCGACGUGCUGACAGGGGGACCCCAGCGGGACCGAGCUCGCUGGUCAGCGACCGGGGGCAGGCGUGGGGCGGUGAGGAUUGGGGCCACGUAGACGGGCGGGGUCUGCCUGUCGACGAUCGGGAGAGGGGGAAGAGGGGGACGGUGGGAGGCUGAUUGGCGGGCCCUGGCUGUUAGGGUCGUCGUCUUCCUCCUGCCCGUGCAUGGCACAGGCGCCAUGGCUGGGGCUGGCAGCUUUGCGCUUGGAAAGGGGGACGUGGGGCGGUGGCGGUUUGUUGGGGAACCCCAGCACGACGGUGCAGUGUCGUCGCUGGCCUUCACCGGUGGCUGCUUAACGGAGAAGAGAGAGUGGGGGAGAGAGAAUAAAGAGUUCGGCUGAUGGUCUUACCUUGGGUGGAGCUCGACCACGGUAGGGCAUUGGUCGGCGAUGGUGAUCCUCGUGCCGGAAUAGCGGGGCGGACUCGCCGUGGGACUCCGGGACGUGGGUGGCUCGGCGAGCGCAUCUCAUAGGCGCGCUCGGAGCGGUGGCAGUUCUGCGAUUGGUGGACUACGAGUGAGGGAAAUGGGGCUGGGGGUAGGGAGCAGGUGUGCGUGAGGCUCAAAAGGAGCUAGGGUCAUGGUGGUUGCAUGAGGGGGGCACAACGUGGGCUGGCUCCCUCUGGUGUGUGUGCGCGCCGGGCGGAGGGGCGGUUUUGUGGGAGAGGGAAGGAGGGGGUGAGGCUAACAAGCGGGGCCGCGCGGGUCGGAGAGCGAGGCUGAGUCACUGGCGGGUGGGGCCCGCUGAGGAGAGAGUGUGCGGGCGCAGGGACGCGUGAAGGAAAGCGCCUACACACGGGGCCCAGAUGACAGACGGAGAGGGCGCGCGCGGGCUGCGGGCGGUGGCAACGACAGAGCAGGCCCACCGGACCGAGAGAGGAAGGAGCGGGCGUGUGGGAGGGGGAGUUGGGCCGGUUGGGUAGAAUGGCUGAGGAGGAAGGUGGUUGUGGGCUUCUUUCUCUUUUUUUUAUUUUCUCUAUUGAAUUCAAAUUCAACCUUGCCAUAAAUUCAAAUUUGAACCUUUCAAGCAUAUGCAUCAAACAAAAAUAAAGUUUGGGAUUCAGCAUGAUGCAACAAUUCAUACUCCCUUGGAGUUUUAUCUACUAGAGUAUUAUUACAUUUCCAAAUAAAGUGACCACUCCUCUACUAUAGGAAAGAGAAAAAGGAAAAUGGAUAGAGGAGAAGAGAGGUAACACCUGAAUUUGGUGGAUACUAGAGAAGAAAUUUUAGACCCCCAAAUUCAGGGUGUUACAGGUCAUGUGAGAAAUCUGACCAUUCACAUGAUACUUGCUCCAGACUAACUAAACCCGAGAAAUGUCCAAUCUAUUGUAAAGUUUAUGGAGAAAUUUAAUGAGUAAACAAAGAUUCUAAAUUUUGAGGUUGGUUACCACCAAGCCUCCAUUUUGUGUAGGUAAAGUGAUGGAGCUCUAAGCCAAGAGGGGGAUUCUUUUAGAAGAACCAUCAUUGCCUCGCCAAAGGCAAUCCUGUCUUGCUAUAUCAAUAGAGUUGAUGGUCUUGAGUGGCAACUUGAGAGUGCACACAUCAUACGUAGGGAGCGUGGACAUAGUCGAAUUAACCAAAGUAAGUCUACCAACCGAAGAAAUCUAGCCGGAGAAUGAAGAAAGCCUUCUCUCCACCUUAUUCAUGAGAGGGAGAAAAUCCUCCAGUUUAGGUUUAGAGGUAACUGUUGGGGGCCUUCCUCUUCCGAAGGUCCUCAAAAAACAUAACUAACAUGUUUUCCAGUAUGAUAUACUGUCUCAGGAGGCUUCAGCUUCGAGAUGAAGGUGUGCACGGUAUGAAAGGCACAAUCUGGAGGAAGGAUAAACUAGCUCCGAAGCUGUGGCUGGAGAAGCUUCGGCUUAGUACAAGGACGAUGGUGAAAGAUGGAACCAACUUAAAGGAGAAAAGACCACUUAGUCCUCGAUAGCUUGCCUUAUGAUUAAUAGUAAAUGUCAGGGACAUGAAUGUAAUUUCGCCCGGGCUGCGUCCCGUGCCUAUAAAUAGAUGAACAGUAACACCAUACUGUUCACGCUGAUUUGUUGUCACUCUCGCGUCACUCCCGCUUUUUCACCUUCUGUCAAGCCGAAGGUACAAAUGUAAUAUAAAUAUCGUGAUGUUUAUUCAUGUUAAUAUAAAAUAAGAAUAUGAAUAGUCUAAUGAUUUGAAAUGAUUAUUCUUGUUCCCUUUGUGUUGCAUAUGUUUCUGUUUACAUUCUUGCUUACUGAAAUGAUGAAGGUAUGUCCUUCAUGACCUUCAUCUAAAGAUCAUUAUAUCCUAAGGGAGAUAGUGCUUCGAAGGACGAAGGUCCCUAAUCAUUAACAAUUGUGUUGCUUUGUUCUUGAUAUUUAGCAUCCGAGAACAAGGACCAACAUUGGCGCCCACCUCCGAUGAACUCAUCAGACCACCUUCGGCAAGCAUUAACCUUCGUCAUGCCGCCGAAGAAGACAGUCGGGCCAGGGGCUACACUACAGCUGCUGGAUGUUAAUCAGGAGACGCUACACGAAGCUAGGAGCCAGAAGAGGAAGGCUACCAGCCCAACACCUCAGGAGGAGGAACUGGACCAAGAGAUCAGGGACCUUGAAGCUAUUCAUCAACUGGUUCAGAAGAAGAGAGAGAAAAUGCUUCAGCUCGCCGAUCUCCAGAGAAAGAUUGAUGAGGCCGGUGAAGAAAUGUGCCAUCUCACCGAGGAGGACCAAGACCGAAGGCCCCAUCAUAGGGAGCUUCGUCAAGAGAAUUCAUACAAUGAUGAUGAAUGGUAUGGUGAUUUUCAUCAUGGGAAUUUUUCUUUCGAUGAUGCUUCUCCUUUGGCAGCAGAGUUGCAGGCUACCCCAUGGCCCCCAUCAUACAAGCCACCUCAGCUUCCUAUGUAUGAUGGGCACUCAGAUCGGAAGCAGUUCCUAAUGAGGGCAACCAUAUCUUCAUAUGGGGGCAAUACUGCAGCCAUGGCGAAAUCAUUCGUCAUGGCAGUUAAAAGCGUAGCGCAAACUUGGUACUCUUCUCUUCGACCAGGAACAAUCACAUCAUGGCAGAAGCUCAAGGAUAUGCUAAUUACUAGUUUCCAAGGCUUUCAAACGAAGCCAGUCACUGCUCAGGCUUUGUUUCAAUGCACGCAAGACCAUGAGGAGAACCUUAAGGCGUAUGUCCGAUGGUUCCUACGUCUGAGAGCACAAGCGCCUACAAUGCCCAAUGAAAUUGUCAUUGAGGCCAUGAUCAAGGGGCUUUGGUCAGGACCUACAGCUCAAUAUUUUGCCAGGAAGCCCCCACAAACCCUGGAGAAACUUCUUCAGAAGAUGGAUGAGUAUAUACGGGCCGGAAAUGAUUUUCGCUAAAGAAGGGAGGAAGCAUAAAGGUUUUCUAAGAUGGCCAGGGGCUUCGGAGGAAGAAUUCACCCCAGGCACGUCAGGUUGAUCCAUAAUUCCAACCCAAGUGAUGAUAGAGGAAGUCAACCUCAAAGGCAACAACACAGCUCCCAGUCAUCAGGGCCACAACAAAGCUCCUUUAGGCCACCCACUACAGGAAACGCCUAAAUUUUCGUGGGCCAGACUAUUUUCGUCGGCCGGCCCACGAAAAUACAAUGUUAUUUUUGUCGGCCAGAGUGACCGACAAAAAUGUGUCCUAUUUUCGUGGGCCAGCGAAGAUUUUCGUCGGCAGGCCCACGAAAAUACGAAAGGUAUUUUCGUCGGCCUCGGGACCGACGAAACUGUAUGAUAUUUUCGUCGGCCGCAGCUAGGCCGACGAAAAUAAGUGGGGUAUUUUCGUCGGCCGCAUCCAGGCCGACGAAAAUAAGUCAUUAACCGGCCUCUAUUUUCGUCGGCCUUAAUGAGGCCGACGAAAAUAGAGGCCCGUUAAUCCUCCAUCCGGCUUCAGCGCGCAUCUUCUCUCUCGCUCGUCUCUAGAAACGCCGCCGCCCGCCAGCCGUCGCCGCGCUCGCCCCACCAUCACCGCGCUCGCCUCGCCGCGCCGCGCCCGCCCGCCCUCGCCUCGCUCGCCUCGCCUCGCCGCGCCGCCUGAGGGCCCGCGCUCGCCCCGCCCUCGGCCCGCGCUCGCCGCGCCGCCUGAGCGCGCCCGCCUGCGCGCCGCCCGAGCGCGCCAGCCCGCCCUCGCCGAGCCGCCCGUGCCCCGCCUGCGCGCGCCCGCCGCCUGAGCGCGCCCGCCCGCCCUCGUCGAGCCGCCCGCGCCCCGCCUGAGCGCGCCCUCGCUCGAGCCUCUCGCGCCCCGCCUGAGCGCGCCUGCCCGCCCUCGCCGAGCCGCCCGCUCGCGAAGAAGGGAGCAUGCCGCCGCACGCAGCCCGCGCGCCCUUGCCGCCCUCGCCGCGCUCGUCGCGUCGCCCGCCCGCGAAGAAGGGAGCCCGUGGCCACCGUCGCGAAGAAGGGAGUCUGCCGUCCGUCCACGCCGCGCUCGCCAUCCGUCGACGCCGCCCUCGUUCCCCGCGGUGAGCCUCCCCGUCUCCCUUCUUAAUUUGAUGCACAUGGCGGCCGUGGCGUGCCGUGCGCGCGGCCGUGGCGGUCGUGGCGGCCGUUAACCGUUAUACAGAUUGUUAAGGCGGUGGUGAAUUGGUUUUGUAUAGUGAAGAGUGCAUGCUAGAUCGGUGGUGAUCAGUGAUCAUCAGUGAUCAGUGCCUCAUUAUCCUCAAUGUCUCAUUCUAUUAUCUUUAUUUUAGAGUUUAGUUUAAUGUUUAGAGUUUAGUUUUAAUCGUUAACCGUAGCGAACCGUAUGUGUCACCCGUUCGGGAACGGCGAACGUCACAUUGGCUUGUGAGGUUCGCCGUUCCGGAAUUGUCCACGUAUUUUGGACAACCUGAGAGUGUAGGCCGAUGCUUUUGAUUUGUGACAUGUGCCUUAUGAUUGACGCGGAAUUUCGGUUGUGUAACCCAGUUGUUCUCCAACGCACCAUGUUCAGGCGUGUGCUUGGAGAGCAGCGGGGUUAUGCUGCCGAAAUUUCGCGGCAAUCGUAGGCUACACGUCACAAAUCACAAGCAUCGGCCUACACUCUUGGGUGGGUUUAGGGCCUUUACCUAAUAGGGAGUUCACCUAAGCCACGGACGAUCGUUGAUGUUCUUUGUCUUUUGUUUAGCCUUUGAAAUGGACGGUGAUCGGAGGGUGAUGUAUGACGGGUGGAGAAAGGAUGGGGCACAUUCGAAUGAAUGGAUGGGUGUAACAAAGGCUUUUCUUGAGCACGCUUUCAAAGAUGCAACUGGUCGUCUAGUGAAGUGUCCUUGCAAUCGCUGCGAGAACAAGUGGCCUCAGAAGAAGGAAGAAAUGGAGAAACACCUUUGCAAAAGUGGGUUUAUGCCGAACUACCUUGUAUGGUACCGGCAUGGAGAGUCUAUUAGACACGUUGACGCGGAGGUGGAACUUGAUGACGAUCAUGAUAGGAUGGAUGACAUGUUGCAUGAUCUUGGUAGGGAUGUUGAAAUGAACGCUAAGGAGCCGGGGCAGCUUCCACGCGAUGCUCAGGAAUUCUUCCGGCUACUCGCCGCAGGAGAAGAGAGACUGCACGAGCACACUCAGAAGUCAGUUCUUGGGACUCUCACAAGACUAAUGGCGAUAAAGUCGAAGCACAACAUUUCAAACAGUGCUUACAACGACAUCGUCCAACUGAUGGGCGAGGUUCUCCCGGAGAAUCAUAAGUUGCCAAAGAAUAUGUACUUCGCAAAGAAGAUGUUGGCUGGUCUUGGGAUGACAUAUGAGAAGAUCGACGUGUGUCCCAACAGUUGCAUGCUAUUCUUUGAGGAGGAUGACAAGCUGGACCGUUGUAAGCAUUGCGAAGCUUCUAGAUAUGUCGAGGUGACAAAUGAUGAGGGUGAAUUGGUAGUUACGAAGGUCGCAGCUAAGCAACUUCGUCGGUUGCCCAUCAUUCCUCGGCUUUCAAGGUUGUUCCUCAACAAGGAAAUAGCUCUACAUAUGACGUGGCCAAAGAAUGGUGUACGUCUCGUCACUGAUCUAGACAUAAUGGUCCAUCCGUCGGACGGUGAUGCGUGGAAGGCAUUUGACGAGUUUGAUCCCGAAUUUGCAAACGACCCUAGGAGUGUACGGCUUGGUCUAUCGACGGAAAUAGGUUAUUUUCGUCGGUACCGACGAAAAUAGGUGCCUAUUUUCGUCGAACUUAUUUUCGGCGGCUAUUUUCGUCGGCCUGCCGACGAAAAUACACUAUUUUCGUCGGUUUAGGCUUAUUUUCGUGGGUUUUUGGCCCACGAAAAUUUAGGCGUUUCCUGUAGUGACCAGCCCUAAGAGGCAGAGGGGCAGAAGCUUCAGAGGAAGAUACGGGGAUCAUCCCAGAAGACUGUUGGGGACUUGUUCUCAAAUGCUUCGCCUUGGCCGAAAACAAUAAUUCCAGGGUAAUGCGUUAGCAAUUACAGGAUUCCGUGAACAGUAAAGGAGUACUGUUCACUAUUCAUAGGCACAGGACGCAGCCUGUAAGAAAUUACGAUCAUACCCCUUACAAGAGAUUACAAUUAUGACUCAGACCCUCAUGGACUAAAAAGUCAUUCCAUCUUUAAGUCGGUUCGAUCCUUCAUCUUCGUAUACGCUAUAAUAUCGAAGCUUCAUGAGCGGUAGUUUCGGUGUCACGUAUAAACAGGUUUUGCCGAAGGUGUUUCUUCCUUCAGGACCUUCGGCGACGAAGCAUGGUCCCAACAGUAGCCCCUUCGCGGUGCUAGAUCGUUUUUCGUAACGAACUUGAUCUGUGAAAAAAGUCUCUUAGGCUUCGGGAAGCCGAAGGUCCAAAAAACACCUUUCCUGAGCUCGUUGCCGGGAAACGAUACAAUUUCCGAGCGCGAAGCGGUCCCACCAUGCAGGUUCACCUUCUCGGGUUUUGUGGCCCACCGCUCAGUGGGUGCGGGCGACUGUUUGUCCGGUGUAAAAGACUUGACGUUUCACCUUCUUACCUGCAGCACUAUAUAAACAGACGGGUAGGUGUGAAGUUACCACAGCAUUCAUUGCUAUUGCACUGUUUUGCUGCCAAAAAUUUAACCAUAGCCGAAGCUUGACUUUUGCAUUCAAACGAAGCACCACUUUGGAUUCUGCUUCGUCACAAGAAGAGCUUCGGAAAAAAGGUUAUUAAUUUCCAAAAAACUACCAAAUUUUUUUUAAUCAAAUGGCCAGAGUACGCUCCACUGCCAGGGUUGAGCGUGAUGGAUAUGAGACCGAAGCCACUGAAACUGUUCCGAUUUCCGAAGCAAUGAGGCGUUCUGGGCUGGUUUCAUCAGAGGACACACCUGCUGCCGAAGCAACACAAGCUGAUGUUGAAGAAGUUGGUUCCGAAGAUGAGUACAGAUGCGGGGUGCCAAGUAAAACUAGUCAUCUGGACUUUGGAAAGUCCACCAUCUCUGAAGCUGAUCUUCCUAAAAUGGUGAAGCUGGGUUAUUUUAGUGAGGCCAAGAAGGAAUUAAUUCGUUUUGGUGGAGAAGAAACUAUCCCAAAGCCAGGAAAGGAUGAGGUAGUAGUCUUCAAAAGUUUUCUUAAAGCUGGUUUAAGAUUCCCCCUAAACAAGAUGAUUGCUAUUGUACUGAAGAAGUUUGGGAUUUACCUUCAUCAGCUGACCCCUAAUGCUAUCGUUAGGUUAAGUGUUUAUAUUUGGGCCCUUCGUAGCCAGGGAGUGGAACCGUUCGGUGAGGGUUUCUGCCAAGUUCAUGAAUUACACUACCAGACUAAAGCCAGAGGAGAUGGUCUGCACGAGAAUUUUGGCUGCUACAACUUUGCUUAUCGCAAGACUACUGUUGGGGACUUGUUUUCAAGUGCUAUGAAUUAAGAACAAGGCAACACAAAAUGUUAAAUGUUAAUAUCCUUCAUCCUUCGAAGCAUUAUUUCCCUAAGGAUAUAAUGAUUUUUGGACGAAGGUUAUGAAGGACAUACCUUCAUCUGCAUAAAAUAUAAUAAUGAAGAAGGAAUAAUAUGAAACAUAAAAAAUAACAUAAACAGUUGUGUAUUAUUGUCGAAUCAUUUCCAUUUUUUUAUGAUGGGAAAAUAGAGAUGAUAUCAAAUUACAAAUGUACCUUCAGCUCGUGAGAAGGUAAAAGUACAAGUCUGACGCAAAAGCCAAUGUCAAAUCCGCGUGAACAGUACAGGGAUACUGUUCACCUAUUUAUAGGCACGGGUCGCAGCCCAUGGAAAAUUACAAUAAUGCCCUUUACAUUUAUCAAUAACCCUAUAGUAAUUCUUCGAGGUAUAGUUUGGCUUUUCAUCUUUAAGUCGGUUUCCCCUUCCCGCCGUGAUGCCGAAGCUCUUCUGUGUAUAGCUUCGCGAUCAUCUUAUCCUUCGUCAUGAUCGUCGUCCCAGUCAAGCUUCGUCUUGACCAUGCUUCUGUAUUCCCGCGACCUGAUUCCUGAUUCCGAAGAUACCUCCUCGUAUACUUAGAAAACAUUGUUAAAUCACGUUUUUUGAGGACCUUCGGAAGCCGAAGGCCCCCAACAGUAGCCCCUCGCAAUAUUAAUUUGCUGGAAUUAUAAAUUUAUAUUGCGGCAUGGACGAAGGCUUUGAGCCGAAGGUCCGAAAAAACACCUUCCCUUUGCUAGAAUAGCAACAGUCUUUGACAAGCGGGACCCUCCAGUUUUCGACAUAAUGGGUGUAUAAAUAGGGGCUCGCCACAAAUUUUUUAGCACGCUCUCUUGCCAUCUGUUUUGCCUGCUCAAAUAGUUUUCUGUCCACAAAUAUUUGGUUGCCUCCCUAGUUUUAAGCUUCGGAAGCGAAAGGCAAGAAUUCCGAAGUGAUGUCUGAGGAGAAGAAGGUUGCUGCCGAAAUGAAGUUGAGUCUUUCUGAAGAGAUGCAUCUGGGUUUUCUUCGGUCUAUGUCGAAGACUAAUACAGAAAAGAUCACUAAAGAAAUUUUGGAAGGUUUAUCUGAAGAUACUGGUGAUAGCGACAGUUAUGAUGCGGAUAGUGGUGGUGAAGACUCCGAAGAUCGACCUUGGCGGCCAAGCCAUGCGGUUUUCGGCAAAUCAAGUAUUAAAGAAAAUCAUCUUGUCAACAUGAGGGGAAGAUAUUUCCGGGAUUUGUCUGUUGUAAGGGCCGACGAAGGAGAUAAGACUUGCCCAACUCCUGAGGAAAAUGAAGUUGUAGUAUUUCGAAGCUUCUUGAAAGCUGGACUACGAUUUCCCCUGAGCCGUUUUGUUGUGGAGGUGCUGAAGAUAUUUGAAAUCCAUCUUCACCAACUUACCCCCGAAGCAAUCAUAAGGAUGAAUAUCUUUGUGUGGGCUGUGAGGAGCCAAGGCUUGGAACCUGAUGCAAAAAGCUUCUGCAACAUGCACGAAUUGUUAUACGAGACAAAACCCUGGGGUAAGGAACAAUAUCACAACAACUUUGGCUGCUACAGCUUCGGCUCUCGGGCUGGGUCAAGCUGCCCAGUGCUGACCUUUUGAAAGAGAUGGCCUGGAGACUGGAUGACGGAAUGGUUUUACGUGAAAAAUGACUUGAAAUCUCGAGAGGAUAUAAAGAAGAUCAUUAUGUAUCCCAUCUAGCAACGCUUCGGCCUGCGAAGGCCGAAGGUGGAAAUGAAUGAAGCAGCCGAAGAAUGCCAGAGAGCCUUCGGAGUUGUUUGCUCUUUUAUUGGUACAAGGGAUUUAACUCAAGAACACAUUGCCUUCAGAGUGUGGCCCCUUGCAGAUAAUUGGGAAAUGCCGAAAGAAACUGUUAAAGAAACUAACGAAGGUGGGCUAGUCCGGUUGAAGUAUACAUUCAAGUACGGAGACAAGUUUGUUGAACCAGAUGAUGAUUGGUUAAAGAGUAUUGAGACUGUAAGUGAUGAAUUGCUUGGGGUAUAUUCGAAGGCCGAGGACACUGCAUUGUCAGCGGCCUUCGGAGGCCGAAAAAAGAAAAGACUUAACCGAGUGUUUGAUGCAGUCGGGUUUGUCUACCCCGACUAUCGCUAUCCAAUACGGGGGCAAAAAAGAAAAGGCACAACUUCUGCGAAAGAAACAACUGCAGCUAUUUCUAGCGAGCCAGCGCCGAAGAGAAAAAGGAUAAAAGUUCUUACACACCGGCCACGCUAUAUUGAACCAGCCACGGUGCCUGAGUUCACCGGUGAGACCUCUUCGGCCACCGAGGUUACAGAGCCAACCCUGUUGCCAGAAGUCACAGAAAUGGCCGAAGUGCCAGGGACAGAAAAGAUGGAAGAACCAAAGACGGAAGAAGCGAAAGCAUCAGCUGAGGGAGUGAAAAUAUCAUAAAUUUGAAGUCCUUCGGAAGAAGUUGAAGCAGCAAAAAUUAAAAAGGGGCCAACAGUGACCCCAAAAAGAAAAAGAAUGAUCAAUGUAUUAGAUGUUUUGGAAACAAUUAAACUUCCAAGCACAACCCCAAAGAAGACUGCUGAAACUUCUGAGGCGCUUGCUGAAGUAUCCGUUGCUAAGGCUCCGAAGCAACAGACUGCAGUUGAAACUGGGCCUUCAGAACCAACCAAGGUAAUACCUUUGGAAGCAGAAGAAGCAAAAAUUGAAAAGGGAACUGAAGAAAUAAAAAUGUCAGAGCCUAUUUUGGUCGAAGAAAUUGAUACUGCUGUCCCCGAAGCAUCUUCCAAAAUAUAUGACUAUAUCGUGCGACAUGCUUCGGGGAAAAAGUUGUCAGAAGAAGAAAUUUUUGAAGCUAACCAUUAUGCCAAAGAAUUGAAAUAUCCGAAGGGGCACUAGUGUUCAAUGGGACGAACGAAGAAGAUUUCCUAUACUGCCUCCCAGAUAACAAAGAAUUAUCCGUCUGUCGGGAGAUGGCUAGAAGUAUGGGGUUUCCGAAGCUCGAAGCUGGCUUAUGUGCUAUGACGAAAGAAGAUCUCGCGGAUAGUCUUGCGUAUAAUAGCCUGAAGGUAUGGGAAUUAGACGUUUGGAAAUUUUAUAAUUCGUAACUCAUUCUUUUAUUCUUAUACGAACUCUUUUUCAUAUAGGGUUUGAUUCUAAGUAACGCAUUGAGAGCACAAAAGAGCGCCGAAGACGAGAGCUAUGAAAUUGCGUUCAACAAUCUACGAUCAGAAGUUAUUAAUCUGAGAAACGAAGCUCUGGAAAAAGAUAAAAUUCUGCUUACAUUGGUAGACAAGGUAAAAAAGGACGAAGCUGCUAGGCCCAGGCCGAAGCUCAAAAACGUGAAAUUAAAGAUCUUCAGAAACAGCUAGCUAGAGCUAAAGAAGAACGUAUACUUGAAGAGACAAAACGAGAGCUUAGUGACCAAUUGGCCAAUCAUUUGGAGAUAAGUGUUAAAGAGCUUCGUGCAUCCCAGAGGAAAUGUUAUGUUAAAUCCAUAGAGUGCGUCAAAAAGAUAAAAUCUAGCUUCGCCAGCGUUGGCGCGUUCUCUAGUGAAGAGAAUUUUUCAAGAGGCAAUCCUGAAGGUCCAAUGGAAUGGAUCAGUCACGAAGCAGAGGCCUUCGAGGAAAUUCUGAACAGCCGCGGCGACAUCUGCGCUUUUUCGGGUGCUAGAGGGAUUGCUACUGUUUUGGAGAAGAAAGGCUGCAAGCAUGUAAAAUCCUUGGCGCAGUCCGAAGCUACAUUGUCCACUGAAGACAUUAAAGACCCCUCACCCGAAGCAAGCAUGGUCGGCAGAAAAUUUUUCACCGAUAUCUGGGAUAACGGCGGCCGAGAAUUGGCGCAAGAAAUUAUUCAAAGGAGUGAAAAAGGCAUUCACGAUGCUAGAAAAGUAGCGGAAGCUGCCGAGAAAAGUACAGAGCCCGAAGGGCGCAUAGGUAUUAAUUAGUAGUUUUUAUCAUGCUGUAAUUUUUAAUUCCAGACUAUGUUCUCGGUUUGUAAUAGUAAUAUGGCCGUAUCUUUUCUUCCCUCAGAACCUGCUGAGGCAUCUCCGGGCCCCCACCCGAAGGGGGACGAUGAAAUUAGGAAAAUGGCCGAAGCCAUUAUGGACAAGGUUGUCAACCAACUAUUGAACGAAGCUGCAGAGAUAGUGCUUAAAGAGGAUUGAAUGCCAUUGUAGAAACAUUUGAAACAUAAAAAUGUGUAAUAUAUUGUAACUUUAAAUGUAAUAUAUAAUCUAUUUAUAAUUUUAUUCUUUACGAUGCGUGAAACUUUGCAUACAUACCAUUUUUUGAGCCUUCGGCGAAAAAAACACCUUCCCUUCUUUUCAUGCUUCGUGAAGAAAAUCCUUUCUAUAUCACAAGAAUUCGCUUACUUUUUUGAUGAAAAAUGUCCAAGCUUCGUGAAAUAUUUUCCGAAGCUAUAAAAAAGUUUCGUGUUGCGUUUCCGAAGCUUUGUGAAAAUGUAGCACGAUUUUCUCUUUUCCCAAAUAUUCUCCGAAGACCAACACUGUAUCCCCUUCUUGUUCCACAUGCAAUAUGUUGUAUGAUGCUUAUGUUAUGCAGAAUGAUGUGAUGAUGUUAUGUUAUGCAAAAAUGCUAUUUGUGCCGCAGAUUCAUAUCCCUGUAAUAGAGCACACACACUUUUUAUCUCAGCGCUGACUUUUCGCUGUAAGCCUCCCUUAGAAGCUUCUUCGCCUUUUACUUUCGGCGGAAUCAGCGUUUAUUUUUCGCUGUAAGCCUCCCUUAGGAGCUUCUUCGCCUUUUACUUUCGGCGGAAUCAGCGCUUAUUUUUCGCUGUAGUUUCAGAAAACUUACUCUGCGUUCCCUUAGGAGCGACUUUUUACUGUUUCGAGGAAUUUGUACUUUGUCCAUUAGGACAAAUGUUUGGUAAUACAAAGGUCCUUCAUGCCACCAUAAAUUUGUAUGCUUCGGCAAAUCAAGCCUAUGGAAAAAACAUAUUUUUAUUAUGGUAAAAGGCGAAAAUAUUACAAGGAAUUGAAAUUCAAUAAAAGACAUUUAAACUCUUCAUAAUUGUUCCUUAUUAACAAAAGGGUAAUAGUGAAUGCAGAAAAUGCAAAAGAACUGCUGUUGAGGUAGGAUAUUUGUCAAUAAAUGUGCUUCGACUCUGGCACAAUACUGUUGACUGUGCGAGCUUCGGACUCCUCUCUGAAAUCCCUCUGAAGACGAUUGUGCUGACUCCCUUCUGGCUGUUGUCCUCGCUGGGUCAGUGGUGGCGGUGGAGGUUGCUGCCAAGAUGCUUGAGGUUGGCUUGCCGAAGCAACAGAAGCUGCAGGGUGGUUGCCUACAUAUUCUGGAAUAUAAGGUGAGUGAUACGAAGCAGUAUGCAUGACCUGCUUCGGCUGACUCUGUUGCGCUGCUGCUUCUGCUAUUUCCUUCUGCUUCUGGAUGGUGACAUGGCACAUCCUGGUAGUAUGGCCCUUGUCUUCACCACAGAAUAGACAAUAUAUUUUCCUUGGCUGGUCUCCAAACCUUCCCCCAAAGCCCCUGGCGCCUCUGCCCCUUGGCGCUGGCGGCCGAAAAGAACUCUGUUGUUGGGCCGAAGCUUGUGAAGAGUGUUGUGGCCUUUGCUGCUGGCUCCCUCGAUCAUCAGUUUGAGCAGAGUUAUGGAUUGACCUAACAUGCCUUGGGUGAAAUCUUCCUCCGAAGCCCCUGGUCAUUUCAGAGAACCUGAAUGCUUCCUCCCUUCUUUGGCGGAAGUCAUUGUCAGCUCGAAUGUAUUCGUCCAUCUUCUGGAGCAGCUUCUCCAACGUUUGUGGUGGCUUCCUGGCAAAGUACUGCGCUGAUGGUCCCGGCCGAAGCCCCUUAAUCAUGGCCUCAAUGACAAUUUCAUUGGGCACUAUUGGCGCUUGUGCCCUCAGGCGCAGAAACCUUCGGACAUACGCCUGAAGGUACUCUUCAUGGUCCUGGGUACACUGGAAGAGAGCCUGAGCGGUGACUGGCUUCGUCUGAAACCCUUGGAAGCUAGUUAUCAGCAUAUCCUUCAAUUUCUGCCAAGAAGUGAUUGCCCCUGGCCGAAGAGAAGAGUACCAAGUCUGAGCAACGCUCCUGACUGCCAUGACAAAAGAUUUUGCCAUGACUGCCGUAUUGCCACCAUACGAAGAUAUGGUUGCCUCAUAGCUCAUUAGGAAUUGCUUCGGGUCUGUGUGACCGUCAUACAUGGGGAGCUGGGGUGGCUUGUAGGACUGUGGCCAUGGUGUAGCCUGCAAUUCUGUUGAGAGAGGAGAAGCAUCAUCAAAAGCAAAAUUUCCAUGAUGGAAAUCUUCAUACCAGUCAUCCUCAUUGUGGUAGCCUUCCUGAUGAAGCUCUCUGCGUGGAGGCCUUCGGCUCUGAUCAUCUUGAACAAGAUGACGAACCUCUUCAGAAGCUUCGUCUAUCUGUCUCAGAAGAUCAGCUAGACGAGCCAUCUUCUCCUUCUUGCGUUGCACCUGUUGCUGAAUGAUCUCCAGGUUUUGGAUCUCCUGAUCCAAGUCAUCCUCCGGAGGUGUUGGACUAACAGCCUUCCUCUUCUGGCUUCGAGCCUCUCUAAGAGAAAGGACAUCCUGAUUGGGAUCCAGCGGCUGUAAAGUACCAGCCCCUGUCGCUGAAGCUUUUUUCGGCGGCAUGACGAAGGUGAUGCUUGCCGAAAGUGUUCAAGGCUCAAAAAAUGGAAGUGAGUUCACUGGAGGUGGGCGCCAAUGUUGGGGACUUGUUCUCAAGUGCUAUGAAUUAAGAACAAGGCAACACAAAAUGUUAAAUGUUAAUAUCCUUCGUCCUUCGAAGCAUUAUUUCCCUAAGGAUAUAAUGAUUUUCGGACGAAGGUUAUGAAGGACAUACCUUCAUCUGCAUAAAAUAUAAUAAUGAAGAAGGAAUCAUAUGAAACAUAAAAAAUAACAUAAACAGUUGUGUAUUAUUGUCGAAUCAUUUCCAUUUUUUUAUGAUGGGAAAAUAGAGAUGAUAUCAAAUUACAAAUGUACCUUCAGCUCGUGAGAAGGUAAAAGUACAAGUCUGACGCAAAAGCCAAUGUCAAAUCCGCGUGAACAGUACAGGGAUACUGUUCACCUAUUUAUAGGCACGGGUCGCAGCCCAUGGAAAAUUACAAUAAUGCCCUUUACAUUUAUCAAUAAUCCUAUAGUAAUUCUUCGAGGUCUAGUUUGGCUUUUCAUCUUUAAGUCGGUUUCCCCUUCCCGCCGUGAUGCCGAAGCUCUUCUGCGUAUAGCUUCGUGAUCAUCUUAUCCUUCGUCAUGAUCGUCGUCCCAGUCAAGCUUCGUCUUGACCAUGCUUCUGUAUUCCCGCGACCUGAUUCCUGAUUCCGAAGAUACCUCCUCGUAUACUUAGAAAACAUUGUUAAAUCACGUUUUUUGAGGACCUUCGGAAGCCGAAGGCCCCCAACAACUACGAAGUUUCCAGUGAUAAGCUACCGAAGCAAAUGGCCAACCGAAUGGAAGUCUGAAAGGUUUUAUGUUAAAGUUGAUGAAGAUGAAGAUAAAUUGGUCCAGAGUCCGCUAGAACUAACCUUCGGAGAGACGAGGCCCCGAUGCAACAUGAUAAUGGGGAGCCCGAGUCAAACUGCUUUGGCUGAAUUUCGAGUGAUUUUAGAUCAUAUUGGCACUAGAGACUUAGUGCAGGAAUUUUUGGCUUUUAAAGUGUUCCCAACACUGAGGGAAUGGGAGAUGCCGAAGCUAGAGGGAGAAAAGAAGAAGGGAGAACUUGUUCGAUUGCCUUAUCACUACAAGUUUAAGAAACAUUUUAAAGCACCCUGUCAAGAGUGGUUGGACACAAUUGAGGUUAUGUGCAACGAUAUCCUCUGCAACUACUCUAAGAAAGAAGAUCAGUUAAUGAAUGCGGCCUUCGGCACUCGUCCGAAACGAAGAUUGAAUCGGGUGCUGGAUGCCUUGAAUUUUGAUUACCCUGAUUAUGAGCAGCUGGGUGGAGAUGCCGAAGGCCAGAAAAGAAAAAGGAUUGCCAGCAUCCUUGACAAAGAAGGCACCAAAUUGGCUAAAAAAGACAAAGAAAUUUCUGAGAAAAGAAAGCUGAGCCCUGAGCCGAAGAUAGCUGCUCCAAAGAAAAGAAAAGCUGCAUCCCCAAAACCAAAGACGUCGGCCCAAGAGGAGGAAGCUCCUGCAACACCUUCUGCUGCCGAAGUGGAAGAGAUUCUAAAGGUAAUGACUGAACCUUUGCCUAUCAAGCUAAGUCCGCUGGCACCAGAACUGACGAAGUUUUUUCAGAAGGAAAAAGAACCUUCGGCAACAGAAAGUCCCGCUAAGCCGAAAAAAUGGAGAAUUAUCCAAGUGGCCGAUGUCAUUCAUCAGACACCGCCACCGACAUCGGCGUCGAGAAUACCAUUUAUUGAAAGUGUUGUCACUGCCAAAACCACAACCACCGGAGCCGAAACCACCGGAGCCGAAGCCACCGGAGCAGCCACCGAAGCCGAAGCCACCGGAGCCAAAACCGAGAUCACCGAAGAUCCUAAUCUAGAAACCACACUUGGUGAUAUUGAUAACAUGCUUCUGAAAAUGGCUGAAGAAGAAGCUGCUGCAGCCGUGGUGGACACGACAAUUGAGAAAGGAAAAGAGCAAAUUGAAGACACUUUGGAAGAAGAAAACUUUAAUUUUCAAGAUAUACUUGGACAAGAAUUAUCAGAAACUGAGAACGAAGAGCUAAAUAAAUAUGCUAUAUCCUGUGGAUACAAACCAAGGUCUCUGCUGUUUAGCGGAGUCAAUGAAGGGAAACUAAGAUGCCUUCGGAAUCGAACCGAGGCCAAGGUUGUUAGGACUUUCUCAAAGAGCGUUGGCCUGCCGAAGAUUGAAGCGGAGCUCUGCAGGUACCAGCGAUAGCAUAUCGCCGAUAGCUUGCUCUAUGCUAAUUUCAAGGUACAAACUCAACUUUUUAUUGUUUUUUGAUUUAAGAUGUUUUCUGACGAAGGUUGUUUUGGCAGAGUAUAUUACUAAGCAAAGUGUUGAGGAUGCAACAAGAUCUUGAAGACGAGAAAAACGAAGCUACCAUCAAAGAUCUAGAAAACAAAGUCGAAAGCUACGAAGCUGCUUUGAAGAAAAAGGACUUCGUCAUUCAAGACCUUGAAAACAAAGUUUAAAGAUCACAAAGCUGCCUUGGAGAAGAAAGACUUCGUCAUUCACUCUAUGGAAGGUUCACUGGCUGAAGCUCAAGCCAAAAUUGAGAAAUUAAACAGCGAAUUACUCAUAAAAUCAGAAAAAUCUGAGCAAGAAAAGAAAAAUCUCGAAACAAGUCUCGAGACCGAAAUUGAGAAGAAUUCAAAUUUGCAGAAAUCAUUGAAGGAGCUUCAGGAAAAAUGCUUAGAUUUCGGCAGCCGAUGUGUGCAGCGGCUGAAGGAUGUGUUUUACUCAAUUGGAGCCAGCUCUGAUAAAUUUACACCUUCAGCUGACAACCUGCCAAGCACCUUUGAAUACAUUGAGGGCGAAGUUGAUGCACUUUACGAAGUUAUCGCUGGGCAUGCCGAUUUCAGCGCCCUGUUAGCUUCUCGAGGCACGGCUACUGCUUUCCUGAAGGCUGGCUGUACACACGGGAAAAUUGUUAAUAGGUCAAACUUCAGCUUGUCGCGAGCAGAUUUGGUUGACAUCCCCAGCCUAGCUCGAAGCAUAGGAAACAGGUUUAUGACCCAGAUUUGGAUAAACGGCGGGCGAAAAAUGGCUGGUGACGAAGCUCGAAGCCACCUUAAGCCAGUGAGAAACUUAUACUUGUUACUUUUACCUUCUCCUUGAACUCUGCGCCUUUCUCAUUCUGUUUUAAUAUGUACAGGAUGAUGAAGCUGAAGAAUGACGAGCUGAAGCCUUAACAAAUGCUCCGAAAGACUUUGCUGCAUAAGAUUCUAGAGAAAAUUUUGUAAUAUGAUUGUAAAAAAACUUAUGCAAAUUUGUGCGUACCUUGUAAUAUAUCUUUUCCCCUUUGUCCGUGUAUAACCUGCUUUGCUGUGGACGAAAUUUUCUUUUUGAGCCGAAGGCGAAAAACACCUUCCCUUCUUUUCGUACACAACGAAGCAUGAAAAUUUGUUCUUUCUCCGAAGCUUUAUCCUCAUAGCCGAAGCAUCUGCCUUUUCUGUAUGAUAUGAUGAUAAUGAUCCUAUGUAUGUCUAAAUGAAUGUUUUAUGAAUGCAAAUGUUAUGAUGUAAUGUAUCGUGCAAAUGAAUAUCCGAAUAUAUAUUCGAAGCCAUAAGCAUAGCCUUCAUUCCCUUAGGAAUGACUCAGAUCUUUUUGCCGCUUAUUUUUCGGCUUCACCGUUUAUUUUUCGGUGUAUCAGCGCUGACUUUUCGUUGUAAGCCUCCCUUAGGAGCUUCUUCGCCUUUUACUUCGGCGGAAUCAGCGUUUAUUUUUCGCUGUAAGCCUCCCUUAGGAGCUUCUUCGCCUUUUACUUCAGCGGAAUCAGCGUUUAUUUUUCGCUGUAAGCUCUGCAUUCCCUUAUGAACGACUUUUGAGCUUCUCCCUGUUUUCUUUUCUUUUUCCUUUGCACUAGAUGGUGCGUUCUCAUCUUUUACAUUUACAUCUUUGGGGGAUAUUGCUCUUAUAGAAUUGAAAUAAGAAAAAGAAAAAUUACAUGUUGUGGCACCAUUAAAAACCUUUCUCCCCUUUUGGAAAGGAAAAGGGUGCCACAAGAAAGAAUAGAAAAAAUUACAUCAAGCUAAACAUAAUAUCGCCGAAGCUCAUCCGCAUUCCAUGAUCUAGGAAUGUCGUUGCCGUCCAUAUCCUUCAAUCUGUAGGAACCGGGUUUUGACGAAGAUACUACCAGAAAAGGUCCUUCCCACUUCAGCUGUAACUUGCCUACUGUCUCUGGGUUGGCUACUCUCCGAAGCACCAAAUGUCCUGGUUCAAUAUUCUUUAACCGAACCUUUCUAUCACGCCAUUUUAUUGUUUUAGCUUGGUAUUUAUUGAUGUUUUCCACAGCUUGAAGCCUGAUCCCUUCUAUAGCAUCUUUUUCCACAGAGUAAUCAGCUUCAGCUUCGUCUUCUACUGAAGCUACUAUUCUUAUUGAUCCUGCUUUUGCUUCUUCCGGAGUUAUUGCUUCAUCACCAAACAAUAAUUUAAAUGGUGUAAAACCUGUUGAUCUUGAUAUUGUUGUGUUGUGGCUCCACACCACUUUGAUUAAUUCGUCUGGCCACUUUCCCCUGGGCUGAUUGAAGAUUAACUUCAUUAUUCCUGUCAUUAUGAUGCCAUUAGCACUUUCAACAAGUCCAUUUGACUCCGGAUGCCGAACUGAUGCAAAAUGGAUCUUCAUGCCAAUUUGUUCACAAAAUUCUCUGAAAGCUUCGGAAUCAAACUGCGUUCCAUUAUCCACAGUAAUAGCCUUCGGCACUCCGAAGUGACAGACAAUAUUUUGCCAGAAAAACUUUUGAAUAGUGACCGAAGUUAUUGUGGCUAAAGGCUUUGCCUCAAUCCACUUAGAAAAAUAUUCCACUGCCACUACAACAUAUCUUAAGUUCCCUUGUGCUGGUGGUAACGGACCUAACAAAUCAAGACCCCACCUUUGCAAUGGCCAAGUGGGUUGUAUUAACUGGGUUAGAGACGAAGGUUGUUUUUGAUCUCUUGCACAUUUCUGACAACCUUCGCACUUUUGGACUAAUUCCGCUGCAUCCGAAGAUGCCUUUGGCCAAUAAAAUCCUUGACGAAAAACUUUUCCAAGCAAAGGCCUAGAUCCAAUGUGAGAUCCACACAGGCCUGCGUGUAUUUCCUUCAUCAAUUCUAUACCUUCGGCUCUGGAUAAACACUUGAGUAGUGGAGAACAGACCCCAUGCUUGUACAGCUCCCCUUCUAUUAUAACAUAUGGUCGAGCUCUUGCCUCUAUCCUCUUGUUAUAAGCUUCGUCAUCUGAAAGAAAGUUACCCUGAAGGAAAGAGAUGAUUUCAGUUCUCCAGUCUUCACUAUAAACAGGAGAUAUGUUGAGGACUGCUCUUUCAAGAAGUUCAACCGAAGGUGCUUUUAUUGUUUCGAAAAAUACUUCCGAAGGUAAGGGCAGCCCCUGUGCUGCUGACUUGGCAAGCAAAUCAGCAUGUUCAUUUUCUCCUCGAGGAAUAUUUUUGACAGAAAACCCUUCAAAGGAAGCCUCAAUCCUUCGGACCGUGUUUAAAUAUUUCUCAAGCUUCGGGUCUCUUGCUUUACAACUCUUGUCAAUAUGACCAGAAAUAACCUGGGAAUCAGUUUUAAGAACCGCCCUUCUAAUUCCCAUUGCCUUUAACUUCCAAAGACCCAAGAGCAAAGCUUCAUACUCAGCAAUGUUAUUUGUGCAACUGAAAUCAAGUCUUGCUGCGUAGCAAGUUUUAACUUUGGAGGGUGCGAUCAACACAGCGGCUGCUCCUGCCCCGAAGGUUCCCCAAGAACCAUCGCAGAAUACUGUCCAAACUUCAGCGUCUUUACUCGCUUCUUCUUCCUGAGCCCCUGGCGUCCAGUCAGCAAUGAAGUCUGCUAACGCUUGGGACUGAAUCGAAGAUCUAUGCACAUAAUCAAUGCAGAACUCAUUGAGUUCUGCAGUCCAUUUUCCAACCCUUCCAGUAGCUUCUCUAUUUCUCAUAAUAUCCUUCUAUGGUUGUGAAGAAGGGACAAUUAUAUUGUAUGCUUGAAAAUAGUGUCGAAGCUUCCUGGAGGCCAUCAAAACAGCAUACAACACCUUCUCCAAUUCUGUAUAAUUUUUCUUUGAUAAACUAAGAACUUCGGAUACAAAGUAUAUUGGGGCUUGCUUUUUGACUUGCCCUUCAAGCUUCUCUUGGACAAGUGCUGCACUUACCGCUGAGUGCGAAGCUGCCACAUAUAAUAACAGAGGAGCCCCUGGCGUUGGUGGAGUUAGUGUCGUUAGGUCUAUCAAAUAUUGCUUCAGCUCUUCGAAGGCUCUCUGCUGAACUGGUCCCCAUUGAAAAACUUCGGCUGACUUCAGCACUUCGAAGAAUGGUAAAUUUCUCUCUGCUGAUCUAGAUAUGAAUCUGUUGAGAGAUGCCAGUCUUCCUGUCAAUCGUUGAGCCCCUUCUUUGUGCUUGGUGGUUCCAUUCGAAGGAUAGCUUCGAUUUUAUUUGGAUUAGCCUCAAUCCCUUUUGUUGAAACUAAGCAGCCAAGGAAUUUCCCCUUCUUCACUCCAAAAACACACUUUUUGGAUUCAGUUUUAGACCACCCUGUCUAAAAUUAGCGAAAGUCUCCUGCAGAUCAGCAAUGCGAUUUUCUUGCUUCGUGCUUUUUACAAUGAUAUCAUCAACAUAAGUUAGCACAUUUCUGCCUAUCUGAGAAUGAAGAACCUUUGCUAUCAUUCUGCUGAAGCUUCCUCCAUCAUUCUUGAGCCCCUCAGGCAUCCGAAGGUAACAAUAUGUUCCGCUAGGGGUUAUGAAGCUGGUUUUUGGCUCAUCCUCCUUCUUCAUCCAAAUUUGAUGAUAGCCUGAAUAACAAUCCAACAGACUCAUAAGUUCUGAUGAAGCUGCUGCAUCAACUAGGGAAUCUAUCCUUGGCAAUGGAAACUCAUCCUUCGGACAGGCCUUGUUGAGAUCAGUAAAAUCAAUACACAUCCUCCAUUUGCCAUUGGCCUUUUUUACCAUAACAGUGUUAGCCAGCCAUUCUGGAUACUUCACUUCUCUAAUAACUCCUGCGCUGUGGAGUCUUUUUACUUCAUUUCGAGCACCUUCGGCCUUGUCAUCAGACAUCUUCCGAAGCCUCUGCUUUCUGGGUCUGAAAGAUGGAUCAACAUUGAGCGAGUGUUCAAUAACAUCCCUGUUGACGCCACAGAGAUCGUUAGCCGACCAUGCAAAGACAUCUUUGUUGUUGAAGAGAAACCUUAUCAGGGUUUUCUCUUGCUGGUCAGACAAUUGAGAUCCCAACAGCACCUUCUGCUCUGCGAUAUCUUCGCAUAAAAGCAUUGGUUUCGGCUGAUCGGCCGAAGCAGCCUUCUCCCUCUUGUACUUGUACUGCUCACAAGCUUCGGUUUCAUCUAUAUUGUGGAUUGCUUUUGAAUCAGUCCAAUUCCCCUCAACCUUUCUGGCAGCUUCCUGACUCCCAUGAAUAGCAAUAGGUCCCUGAUCCGAAGGUAUCUUCAUGCAAAGAUAUGCUGGAUGGAGAAUUGCUUCGAAAGCAUUGAGUGUUCCACGACCAACGAUAGCAUUGUAAGGAUACUCCAUGUCGACAAUGUCAAACACAACUUGCUCAGUCCUUGUAUUGUUGACGAAUCCGAAGGUCACUGGCAUGAUAAUCUUACCAAGUGCUACAAUUUGUCUUCCUCCGAAGCCACAAAGAGGGUGCGUAGCAUCAUGAAUCUUGUCUUCGGGCUCUUGCAUUUGUCUGAAGGCCUUAGCAAAUAUAAUAUCCGCUGCACUGCCUGUAUCAACCAAAACAUUGUGGACCAGAAAUCCUUUGAUCACACAAGAGAUAACCAUAGCAUCAUUGUGUGGGUAAUCCUUGAGCUGAAGAUCCUCUUGAGAGAAGGUAAUUGGAAUGUGAGACCAUCUUGACUUGAUGAAGGGUCCUUGUACCCCUACAUGUUGUACUCUUCUUUGUGCUUCCUUCUUCUAUUUCUUGUUAGCUGGCUCUGAACAUGAACCGCCUGUUAUCGGGAGGAUCAGCUUCAGAGCUGAAGCAGUUCCAGCUUGAUUCUUGAACGAAGCCAUCGUCUCAAAAAAGUGGAAGUGAGUUCACCGGAGGUGGGCGCCAAUGUUGGGGACUUGUUCUCAAAUGCUUCGCCUUGGCCGAAAACAAUAAUUCCAGGGUAAUGCGUUAGCAAUUACAGGAUUUCGUGAACAGUAAAGGAGUACUGUUCACUAUUUAUAGGCACAGGACGCAGCCUGUAAGAAAUUACAAUCAUACCCCUUACAAGAGAUUACAAUUAUGACUCAGACCCUCAUGGACUAAAAAGUCAUUCCAUCUUUAAGUCGGUUCGAUCCUUCAUCUUCGGAUACGCUAUAAUAUCGAAGCUUCAUGAGCGGUAGUUUCGGUGUCACGUAUAAACAGGUUUUGCCGAAGGUGUUUCUUCCUUCAGGACCUUCGGCGACGAAGCAUGGUCCCAACAAAGACUAUUUUGCUUAUUCUGCGGUGAAGACAAAGGCCACACCACAAGAACAUGCCAAGUCAAAAUUCAGAAGGAAAAAGAGAUUGCCGAAGUUGAGGCACGACAGAAUCAGCCAAAGCAGGUCCUACAUACUGCUUCAUGCUAUUCUCCCUAUUUUCCAGAAUACGUAGGUAAUCAAGAGCCUAUGACCUCUGUCGCUUCGGCAAGCCACUCUCAAGCUUCCUGGGCCCAGCUCCCACCACCACCACCGCUACCACCUACUUUGAACCAAAGCCAGCAGCCAGAAGGGCACCAGCACGCUCAACAGCAGCGUGAUUUUCGGGAGCAGUCCGAAGCUCGCACAGUCAAUAGUACUAUGCCUGAAUCCAAGCACAUCUACUAAAGAAUAUCCUACUCUUGGUGUAUCUUUAUAUUUUCUGUCAUUUUAUUUUUCUUGUAUGAAAAACAAGUCACGAAGGACUAAAUUCUGAUUUCAUGUAAUAAUAGUGCUCGUAUCGUUGAGUAAAAUGCUUCCUCCUAACAAACUUUCAAAGCUACAAAAGCCGUUCCUAAGGGAGCACAGAGUAAGUUCCGAAGCUCAAAAGUUGUUCCUAAGGGAAUGCAGAGCCAAAAUACCAUUGAAAUAGAAGGUGAAGAAGCUCCAAAGUCGUUCCUAAGGGGAUGCAGAGCUUAAAUACCACCUAAAUAGAAGGUGAAGAAGCUCCAAAGUCGUUCCUAAGGGGAUGCAAAGCUUAAAUACCACCGAAAUAUAAGGUGAAGAAGCUCCAAAGUCAUUCCUAAGGGGAUGCAGAGCUUAAAGACUCCAAAGACGUCCCUAAGGGGAUGCAGAGUCUUGAGUGUUUCAGUGUGGGCGUGUGUAUGCGACAUAAACAUCAUGUUGCAUCAUAUCAUUGCAUCAUUCCGCAUAGCAUUACAUCAUACAUCAUAUCACAUCAACAACAAAGAUUGAGCACGAAGCAAAUCUUCGGCAAAUACAAUCUUACCUAGAAAGCCUGUUGACAACAGUGUCACACAACAGCUUUGCUAUAAAAAGACUCUUUUCUUUACGAAGCAUGAAAAGAAGGGAAGGUGUUUUUUCGCCGAAGGCUCAAAAAUGGUAUGUGCGUAAAUUUCAUGCAUCGCAAAGAAAUAUAUUACAUUAAUAUACAUGUUUGAUAAUUGUUUCAUACACAAAUGUUACAUUGUAUUAUCACAACAAAAGCCUAGUCUUCUUUGAGAAUUUUCUCGGCGGCCCCAUUCAGCAGUCUAUCGACGACUUCAUCGACGAUGGUAUUUGCAACACUCAUCACAUCCAGUGCCUCCUUCAUAACGGGAUCGGCCUGAGGGUCGUACGGCUCGGGUAGCGGUGAAAGUUCAGCUGUAGUAAACAAAUCGUUAGUCUGAAGCCAUAAAACAAACACCGAAGCUAAACUUCAAUAAUAAUACCUAUACGCCUUGCGCGCUCGGCAGCCUCUUCGGCUCGCUUAGCUUCUUCUCGGGCAUCAUGGGAUUCUUUUUCAUUUUUCUUUACAAUUUCGUUGGCCAUUUCUCGGCCGCCUUUCAUCCAGACAUCGAAAUAAAAUUUCCCACCUAUCAAAGUGGCUUCGGCCGAGGGGUCCUUCGUAUCGUCUGUGGAGAAGACGACUUCGGCCUGGGCCGUAGCUUUAACAUGGCCACAACCAGCCUUCUCCAGAAUUGCUGCAACCCCUUGAGCACUGGCAAAGGCACAAAUAUCCACACGAUCACUAAGGAUCUCUUCAAAAGCUUCGGCCUCUUCACCUAUCCAAUCGAUGACUCCCUCUGGGUCACCUCGAAUGAAUUUUUCUUCCGAAGAGUAUGCACCCACCUUGGCAAAGCUGAUUUUCAGUUUUCUUACGCAAUCCAAGGAUUUCUCAAAGCAUCCUUCCUUGGGUUCACGAAGCUCCUCAACAUUCUUUUCUAGCCUAGCAUUCGACCAUUCACUUAUUUCUUGCUUUUCUUUUGCAAGUGCAAAAUUUUCACUAGCUUCGGCAAGUUUUUUCUGAAGGUUCUCAACUUCGGCUUUAUGGGCUUCGGAUUGAGCAUUAAAUUUUGCUUCAGUUUUCUUCACUCUAUCCACCAAUGAAAGCAGAAUUUUAUCUUUCUCUAAGGCUUCAUUUCUCAGUUUGAUAACCUCCGACCGAAGGUUACCGAGGGCUAUCUGGUAACUUUCAUCUUCAGCAUUCUUCUGUGCUCUCAAAGCGUUGCUAAGAAUUAAACCCUGCAAAAAGAAGGGAGACAAAGGAUCAGCACGAGAAUAAAAGACAAAAGAUAAUCUUCUUAUAAGACCAUAACUUCCGUACCUUCAGACUAUUGUACGCAAGGCUAUCUGCGAGGUCAUCCUUUGACAUGGCAGAAAGGCCAACUUCAAGCUUCAGAAACCCCAUGUUUUUUGCCAUCUCCCGGCAAACAGAUAUUUCUUUGUUAUCCGGAAGACAGUAUAGAAAAUCAUCUUCGUCGGUGCCACUGAACACCAAAGCCCCCUUCAGGUACUUCAGUUCUCGGACGAAGUGUUUAGCUUCCGCGAUUUCUUCUUCAGACAACCUUUUACACGAAGCAUGUCGAAUAAUAAAGUCAAGAUCUUCAGAAGGUGCUUCAGGAAUAGGAGAUUUAACUUUUUCGGGCGCGUCUUUCUUCUCCAGAGCAAAACCAGCAUCUGAACAUCCUUGUUCAGUUCUAUGCUCAGUCCCAGCAGGCUUUGCUUCAAUGGGCAUUGAGGGCCCAGCUUCGGUUUCAACGUGAACUGUAGCAGCUUCAACAGUCUCUCUAGCAGGGGUAGGAGUCGAUGCCCUCGUCAAUUCCAGGACGGCGUCCAGCACGCUAGCCAUCCUUAUCCUCUUGGGAGUUAUUGCAGGAGCCUUUGAUACCUUCGGCAAUUCUGGAUCCGCUAGCGGACUCAAGAUUUUUGGCAGCUCUAUCAUUUCCCCUAGUUCUGGCUCUUUGGCCGCUUUUCCUUCGGCUUCGCCACCAUCUUUUGGUGUUUCGACUAACCCGGUUGCAGGUACCUUCGGCAAUUCAGCCAAUUCUUCCCUGGGGCUGGCAAGAGCAGGCUGCCCUGGCUCAGCAACAGAAAUUGUCUCUUCACCAAACUUCGGCACCGUUGUAGUUUCAAUAUAUCUAGGUCAGUGCAUUAAAACCUUGAUCUUUUUGCCCUUCCGUGCAACUGAUAUGGCCGAAGUGGCAGCUUUCUUUUCUUUCCCUGCUUUCGCGAGGGAUAAGCAUAGUCUGGGUACACGAAGCCAAUAACGUCAAAAACUUUGUUUAACCUUUUCUUGCCUGUUCCUCCGAAGGCUGAGGUCAAGGCAUCAUCUUCAGCUCUCAUGUACGCUCCAAGCAACUCAUCGCUAGUCGCCUCAACACAGAUCAGACAGUCAUCAUUUGACUCGUCAAACUGAUCUCUGUAUCUGAAGGUGUAUUUCAAAUAAACCAAACCGCCUUGACUGGACCCGGCAGCAGUCUCCUUCGGCAUCUCCCAGUCAUUCACAAGAGGACAUACUCUGUAGGCUAUGUGUUCCUGGACUAGGUUUCUCGUGCCAAUAAAGGCACAAACAUUGUUGAAAGCCUUUUGGCAUGCUUCGAUAUCGUUCCCAAGCCCAGUAGUCGGUCUCCUGAUGCCGAAGCGAGACCAAAUAGGGCAUUGAAUAAUCCCCUUAAUGUCCUCCCUUUCAAUCAGAUUAUUCUUUACAUAAAACCACUCCUCCAUCCAGGCCCCUGGCCACCUUUUUCGAAAAGUUGGAACUAGAUAACUCACAUUAGAGCGAGGCACGAAGCCAUAACAACCAAAGUUGUUGUGAUACUGCUCCUUGCCAGUAGCCUUCGUCUCAUACAGUAGUUCGUGCAUGUUGCAGAAGCAUUUUGCGCUUGGCUCUAGCCCUUGGCUUCUCACGGCCCAAACGAAAACCCCCAUCCUGAUAAUGGAUUCAGGGGUAAUCUGAUGAAGGAAAAUUUAGAAGGUCUUCAGCACUUCAACCAGGAAUUUGCUUAACGGGAACCGAAGCCCUGCCUUCAUGAAGCUCCUGUAAACAACCACUUCAUCUUCUUCGGGAGCAGGGCGGUACUAUCCCCUCUAGCUCUCACAAUGGAAAUAUCUCGGAAAUAUCUCCCCUUCAUAGCAUCAAUUUGACUCUGCUUAAUAGAUGAUUAUUCGAAGAUGGUGUGACUUGGUCGCCAGGGCCGAUUUUCAGCAUCUUCGUCUUCACUUUCCACAUCAAAGCCUUCAUUGUCAUCAGAAUCCUCAGACAAGUCAGCUACCAUCUCGUUUGUAAUCUUCUCUGCGUUUGUCUUCUCCAUAGCCUCGUAAAAACUAGCUAGAGCAGGAUCAGCAACCUUCUUCUCUUCAGCCAUUCGGUGAGCACUUGUUCAAAUGUCGAAGCUCGCAAAUCAAGCGAAAUCUGACAACAAGCCAAUUCAAGCUUGAAAGAAAGCAAAAAGCGAUUGAGAUGGCGUAUCAAAUGUUGUCGCUGCGGGUUCCUAUUUAUAUGCCCAGUGCAUUGCAACUUGGCAGGCCCUACAUGUCAUUGACUUUCGCUAUUCUAGCGAAGGGAAGGUGUUUUUCGGACCUUCGGCUAAAGGCCUUCGUUCACGUCGCAGUCUGAAUUUGUUAAAUGCAAAAACAAAUUGAUAUUGCGAGGGGCUACUGUUGGGGGCCUUCCUCUUCCGAAGGUCCUCAAAAAACUUAACUAACAUGUUUUCCAGUAUGAUAUACUGUCUUAGGAGGCUUCAGCUUCGAGAUGAAGGUGUGCACGGUAUGAAAGGCACAGUCUGGAGGAAGGAUGAACUAGCUCCGAAGCUGUGGCUGGAGAAGCUUUGGCUUAGUACAAGGACGAUGGUGAAAGAUGGAACCGACUUAAAGGAGAAAAGACCACUUAGUCCUCGAUAGCUUGCCUUAUGAUUAAUAGUAAAUGUCAGGGACAUGAAUGUAAUUUCGCCCGGGCUGCGUCCCGUGCCUAUAAAUAGAUGAACAGUAACAUCGUACUGUUCACGCUAAUUUGUAGUCACUCUCGCGUCACUCCCGCUUUUUCACUUUCUGUCAAGCCGAAGGUACAAAUGUAAUAUAAAUAUCGUUGAUGUUUAUUCAUGUUUAUAUAAAAUAAGAAUAUGAAUAGUCUAAUGAUUUGAAAUGAUUAUUCUUGUUCCCUUUGUGUUUCAUAUGUUUCUGUUUACAUUCUUGCUUACUGAAAUGAUGUAGAUAUGUCCUUCAUGAUCUUCGUCUGAAGAUCAUUAUAUUCUAAGGGAGAUAAUGCUUCGAAGGACGAAGGUUCCUAAUCAUUAACAAUUGUGUUGCUUUGUUCUUGGUAUUUAGCAUUCAAGAACAAGGACCAACAGUACCCAUUGGCAAGCCUAAGUAGGUAAAAUGAAAAGAGCUAACCUGACUGCUGAAACCUGUAGCAAGGUGGAUUGCAUCUUCAUUGGUCACAUUGAUGGGAAGAAGGUAAGACUUACUACAAUUAACCUUUAUACCUGUGGAAAUAGCAAAAGAGUUCAGGACCCCUUUUAAACAGAAGAGCUUGCGCUGAGAAGCUUUCAUAAUAGUUAAUGUGUCAUCAACAUAUUGAAUAAUGGAGAAAUUAUCUGAAGGGCUCAACGCGAUGGGCCAGAAAAGUUUGCUGAUAGAGGUGGCCUUAUUAACGAUAUACUGGAGAAGUUCUGCUGCAAGAACAAAAAGGUGAUGGGAAAAAGGAUCUCCCUACUUGACUCCCAUUCCACAAACAAAUUGUUUUCAUGUUGUUCCGUUCAGAAGGAUGGAAGAAGAACCCAAUUUCAAAAUAAGCUCAAUCCAAGCACAUCAUUUCUGAGGAAAUCCCAAUGCACUGAUCAUCUGAAGAAUAACAUUGUGCUCAAUCGUGCCAAAGGCUUUUUCAAAAUCAAGCUUCAGAAUAACAACUUCUUUUUUUAGAGUGAUGACAUUGAUGAAUGAGUUCGUAUGCCCAAGUAAGGCAAUAUUGAAUGGUUCUGAGUUUAAUAAACCCAUAGUGAUUUUUGUGCAUCAUUCUAAGCAUACCUGAUUGAAGUCUAUUUGCAUGCAUCUUUGUGAUAAGCUUGAUGACUGAAAUAAGCAACGAGAUUGGUCUAAAGUCAUUAACCAGAACUGGGUUAUUCACUUAUAGGACCAAUGUGAUAAACGAACUAUUGAUGGCGGUCAGAUCAAUAUUCCCAUCAAAGAAAUCAUAGCAAAGCUUAUAAAAUAUUCUUUGAUAAUAUGCCAACAAGAAUUAAGAAAUUUACCAUUAAAACCAUGAGGACCUAGAGCUUUUGAUGAAGGCAUAUGUUUUAUUACUAAAUCAAUUUCACCCUAGGAUAAAGGACGGACCAAUUCAGAGAGAUUAAACAACAUCGUUGGUUGAUCCGAAAAGCCCAUUAUGUUUCCGAAGGUUUCCUAGAGGAGGGCACCUUUCUCCUCAUGACCAGUAACCAAACUACCACUGUAAAGCGCAAAAUUGGUAAAUAAUAAUAAUAAUAAAAUAAAUAAAUAAAGAUAAUUAUGAUAGUGUUUCUAGAAUUUAUAAACCUUUGGAAUUCCUUAGAACCUCUCCUCUUCAUAAUCAAUUGAGGGCGCCAAAUUAGUUAAGUAACCAACAAAUAGAUAAGGAAAGGUUGAUCUAUUGUCAAUGGUUUUGUGGCAAUACAUUUUAUGGAAAACAUAAAUUUAACCUCAACCCAUAAAUGAAAUAUAAAAAGGAAAAUGAGAAAAGAAAUCUUAAUAAAGUCAUUUACUACCUCCAUAAUUAAAUAAUAGGGAGAAAAAUAAAUAAUAAUGAAAAGAUAAUUUAUCUUCAUAUUAGAAUUAUAUUUGAGAGAGAAAUCAAACAGGGAUUUGAAUUUUGAUUUGGAUAUUUGAAAUAUAAAAGAAAAAGGAAUCACCAUCAUGGGCCAACAGAUUCGAAUUCGGCCCAUUCACUUUAUCCCACGCCAGCCCACCUUCCUUCAUCGGCUGACAUGCGGGCCCACGAUCAACACUGCCCUCUCUGUUGGGCGCCGACCUGUGGGUCCCGCCCCAAUAGCCACUCAGCCCACGUUCGCAGACUCAUUCCGGUGCCGAUGACGCAUGGGGCCCGGCUGUAAGUCUCCUUCCCCCUUGUUUCGCGCUCGCGCCAUGGUACCAAUGACAGGUGGACCCUCUACGCUGAGCAGCUUGUGUCACCUUCUCCGCGGCGUGUGCGGCGAUCCCAACCUCCGCGCGGGAAUCGCGGAUUCGUUCCGACCAAGCAUAGCGGACUUCACCCAUCUAUAAAACCAUGGCGCGGGUUUUCCCUUCCCUUAGGCCUUGUUCGUUUCUACCGGAUUGGUGGGUCGGAAUGAUUCCGAACCGGAUUGCUUCUCUAAUUUAUAUAAACUUUGAUUAGGUGGAACGAUUCCGGUUGCAAUCCGACACAAAUGAACAAGGCCUUAUCCUUCUCCUCUGCGCUCCGCGCAACCACUGGGGCGGGAUUUGAUCUCCGCGGAUUGGCCCUCUCGACGGCAUCUUGCUUCUCGUGAUAGCACCACAGGGGCGCCUUGGCGGAAGGAAUCGGGUGCCGACCUCGGGUGGGGGUGACGGCCACUGCCGCGGCGGCAAUUUCUCACCGUUGGCACAGUUCCACUCAACGCCGCGGCCGGCCCUGUGACCGCCCAAAUCAUCGGUAAGAAGUUGUCGGUAAAGUUCAACGUAGGGUCACCGGAUGGCUGAACCACUGUGCACCGGUGUGGCUUCGCCGUGGUGCGGUCGAGCAGGCCGCCGUCGUAAUGGCUUGGGGGUUGGUGAAGGAAGACAACGAUGGACCGUUGGAUCAUUGAGACACGGCCCCGAUUGGAUCUGGGGAUACCGAUUCAGGAAUCAAAUCUGAACACUCGGCGUUGGAUCCGAUGGCCUGGGCGUGACACUGGCAGGGCGCUGAUUAAGGGCUUGUUCGGUUAUUCCUAUUAUACAUGGAUUGGAUGAGAUUGGAAAAAAUUUAGAAGAAUUUUGACUUGCUUGAGAUUUAAUCCCAACCAAUCCCACUCAAUCCAUAUAGAUUGAGAGCUAACCGAACAAGCCCUAAAGUGGUGCGUGCCCCAUUCGCUUGACUAAAAACGAACCGUUAGAUUUCGAUCUGAGGAACACGGUGGAAUCAGACCUAUUCCCUCCCUCCGAUGCUUUGAUCUUGACUGUCCGUUUCAAGUUGUGGGGUGGAGAUCAGCUCACGCUUUAAUAAAAUCCUGACCCUAGGAUCUAGAACCGUGGACUGUGAUCGCUUACCGGUUUGGGGGUGCUAGCUAUAAUCUGGGCCCUUGAUCAUUCAACGGGUGGCUCUGGUUGCCUCAUACCCUUUCGUUGCUGCAUCUUUGCAUAAGAGCCCUGGAGUUAUUGGGAAUAGACCCACGCUCCUGUCCCAUUCAAGAAUCAUCACAGGAAGGUCCUUUCCUUUGUAAAACAGCCAUAUGCUUCUCAGUAUUUGUGGCCGCAGCCCAGAGAUUAGAUAAACUAGAUAAAAUAGAACAUAAAAUAAUUUAGAGUAUAAAAAUAAAUCCAGAAACUUGUUUAAUUUAUAUUUAAUUCAUUUUAACCCCAAAUUGAUCCCUUCCAGUUGCAUUAGAUCCAUAAUAAUAUUGUUUAUCUUCUAGUAACUUCAUUUUUCUAUGAAACUUAAAUUAAAAUUAUGUACUUAAUUUCUUUUGUACCUCACUCCUAAAUCUUUAGAAAAUCAUAACUUUAUAACCGUGACUCCGAAUUUAGUGGUUCUCGAACCUAGGAUCUAGUUACGACGCGUAGAUCAUUAUUAUACAAUUUGUUCUUAUGUUUGGUGUGAUGUUCAUUUUGGCUAUACCAUGUUUGUUUGUAUUGCUGCGACUAGCGCGAGGUCACGAGUCACUUGAAGAGAAAGUUGGUACCUAGAAUCUCGAGUCCCAGACAAGUUGUGCCCUUGAUCACUUCUUUUUACCCAAUAAUGUUCCUGUUAAUCAUUAUGAUCAGCACAGGUUAAUUUUAAUAGGACCCAAUAGGUUACCCUAAUUUGAUUAUCUUUAUGCCAUGUUUAUCACUGAACUUUUGGGUAGUACUUGCUAGUUCUAUAUGUGGAUUUAGGCAUUGAGAUACACAUUAUUCAUGAUCAUGCUUUUGUUAUCUGUUUGUUAUUUAUUGUUCAUGAUAAGAUCAUAUUGUUAAUUGGAACAUGGAGAACCACCCGAGAAAACAGUGCUACCACAAGGGUGGUAUGGGACGCCCUUGGCUGGCUAAUUAAAAAAGCUAGUGGAUGAGUACCUUACCCAAAAGGGGCAAGGGCAGUAGGGGAGUGGUCAGUGUAGGGAGGUCCUUGGGUUGAUUUUGCUGCGAUGGCAGUCAGGCGAGGGAUCCCUGUAUUGGAGCUUCCUAGAAACUGUAAUGGGUUUUCUGAAGCUAGUGGAACUUUGUAAGGGCCUCAUAGUGUUACCCUGCCUCGCUUCCUUGGUUGAGGUGUAUGGGAAGUCUCGAUCCCUUGGCAGAUGGGUAACAUGACUUUUGGGUAAAGAUGCGCAACCUCUGCACAGUGUAAAACCGAUAUACUAGUCGUGUUCACAGUCAUGAGCAACCCAGACACUCACAUGAGUAAUUUAUGGAACUAAAAUCAAUUUGUCAUAUGCAUUGCAUCGCAGGUGUUGUUAUCAAAUUUUGAUCUAUUACUUAUUUGGGUUGGUAUAUACUUACACUUAGCAACUGCUAAUAAAAUUUUGAUCAACUCUAAAAGCAAUGCUCAGCUUUGACCAUCCUCUUUGGUAAGCCUUACACUUCACAUGAACUCCCACCUUUGGUGAGUUCAUGCACGUUAUCCCAACAACUUGUUGAGCGAUGAACGUAUGUGAGCUCACUCGUGCUGUCUCACACUCCCACAGGUCAAGAACAGGUACUGUAGGAUGAGGUGCAUGGAGGAUGCUGUGACGAGUUUGUGAGAGGUCUAGGCCGUCAUCUCCCAGUCAACUUUGGGUUGCUAGAUCGUUGUCUCCUUUCGAUGUAAUUAUUUAUUUUGUACAGAACUCCUAUUAUAUAGUAAAGAUGUGACAUUUGUUUCUGUACCAUGAUUCAUCAUAUGUGUGAGACUUGGUCCCAGCACACCUGGUGAUUAUGUUCGCGCCCGGGUCUUGGUUCCCCGAAACCCGGGUGUGACAGAAGUGGUAUCAGAGCCGAUGUUGACUAUAGGACGAAACCUAGAUAGAACUGGACAACCAUUAUCUACUUACCUUUGCUACUCUGAUUUCUUCUAAACUUUUCUUAAUCUUUUCUCAUCCACUACUGCUUUACUCUGAUUAAUCUUACCUCUUCACUCUAAAGACAAAAGUGGAUUUCACACUUUGAAAUCCUAUACCUAAAGUGAAUUUUAGGAAUAGAAGACCUAAUCUUAGGAACAAAAACAAACUAGUUUUAUAAGUAUCUAUGCACUUGAAUGUUUGUUCUUAUGAUACCUGUCUGAUUUGGAUCUUUGAUUGAGUGUGAUGAGUUGUGGAGUAAUGUCCACAAUUGCAUCUGCAUAUACACAUAGGCAUAAAAAAUGUUUAUAAAAUAGUUAGACAACCUAUAUUAUCUCUCCAUCCUUUGAGCUUCAUCUUAUAAGCCUAGUCACCCGACAUAGAACAACAGACCAAGCUCUGCUCAUGAUCCUUUAGUUUAGAACCAGCUACUAGCCUAUCUGUUCUGCCUGCAAAAUUGUUUCCCUUGCAAAACUGUCUUACCAUAUGUCUCUAACCCAGAUGGUCAAUACCAGGAAGGGAGGCGGAAUCGAUCUACCAGCCAACCACCAUAGCAAGAGGAUUAUUAGGCAAUCACAACCAGAAAUGAAUCCUCCAAAUCCUCCACCGGCUAGGACAGAUCCAGUGGUUGCCGCACAGAUGUAGGUGAUACAGCAAAUGGCAAACACGAUGCACGAAAUGCAAAAUCAGAUGAGGCAAGAAUGCCAGGAGAUGCGCCAAAAACGGCUGGAGAUGCGUCAAGAGAUGAGGCAAGAACGGCUGGAAAGACAGCAACAACCACCUCCACCAGCUCCACCCAGGGAUAAGCACCGGGAGUUUAUGAGUCACAAACCACCAACCUUGAACCUUCUCUAACUCUGCGGACCCACUACAAGCAGAUGAGUGGUUAAAGUCUAUGGACAAGAUGCUCAACAUAGCUCAGUGCUCUGACAGAGAGAAGGUGCUUUAUGUGUCGGGUCGCCUUACCAGUCUCGCUGCGGAUUGGUGGCAUGCAUACUGCGCUGCCCACGCUACUGUCAACACCAUCACCUAGACAGAAUUCUCCACUCCAUUCAGGAAUUACCAUAUUAUUGCUGGACUUAUGAAGAUUAAAAGGAAGGAGUUUCUAUCCCUUAAGCUGGGAAGUAUGUCCGUGCGCGAAUAUAGGGACAGAUUUAUUCAGCUACCUCGAUAUGCUCCUAGGGAUGUUGAGGAUGAUGAGAAGCAGGAACUCUUCCUGUAAGGUUUGAUCGGACCACUACAAUACCAACUAGUAUCGCACACAUUCCCGUCCUUCCAUAGACUACUAGACAAAGCUAUUGUUGUGGAAAAUAAUAGGUUUGAAUUUGGAGAAAAGAGAAGGGCUGCUAACCAGGGACAUGCUGGGAGUAGUUCCCGUACUCGAUAUACUACUACUCAAAGUACUCCUGCUUGUGGUAGUUCUAGGCAACAAACUCAACAAACACAAAUUGUCCCUCCGCAAGCAAGCACUCCAACUGGACCCAUUGCUCCUAAUACUUCCACCAACAGGUCGUGCUUCAAGUGUGGAAAGUCUAGACACUAUGCCAACUAUUGUCCCAACAGGGCCGCUUACACUACUCCAGCUCCAAUAAAGCAGGGCCAGGCCUCGGCAGGAAAGAGUCAGCACUUAUCCAUCAACCGGGGGCAGGUCAACCAUGCAGAUUUAGAAGCUGAACCGGGUGAAAUUGAAAACCAAGAAUAAGUGCAGGUUGAAGACGAAGAAGUUGGUGAAGAAGUCAACGAGCAACAAGAUUAGAGCAUAUAAACUUAUAAACAUAAAUAAAUAAAUAAAUAUUUAAGUAUUAUUUGUAAGACCUAAAUAUUACUUUAGUUAGUAGUUAGUAUUUUAAUAUUUUAGGAGUAAUAAUAAGGACUAGUUGACCUGAUAUUUUGCUCAUGAGUUAUGCAUCAUGCUGACAUUUUUUGAUUGCGCAUAUGUAGAUAUACCAUUUUUCUUACUAAUCUCGAGGACGAGAUUUCUGUUAAGGGGGUACGAUUUGUAAAGCCCAAAAUUGGUAAAAUAAUAAUAAUAAUAAUAAAGAAAUAAAGAUAUUUAUGAUAGUGUUUCUAGAAUUUUUGAAACCUUUGGAAUUUCUUAGAACCUCUCCUCUUCAUAAUCAAUUGAGGGCGCCAAAUUAGUUAAGUGACCAACAAAUAGAUAAGGAAAGGUUGAUCUAUUGCCAAUGGUUUUGUGGAAAUACAUUUUAUGGAAAACAUAAAUUUGACCUCAACCCAUAAAUGAGAUAUAAAAAGGAAAAUGAGAAACAAAAUCUUAAUAAAGUCAUUUACUACCUCCUUAAUUAAAUAAUAGGGAGAAAAAUAAAUAAUAAUGAAAAUAGAAUUUAUCUUUAUAUUAGAAUUAUAUUUGAGUGAGAAAUCAAACAGGGAUUUGAAUUUUGAUUUGGAUAUUUGAAAUUUUAAAUAGAAAAGAUGAAAGAAUAGAAAAGAAAAAGGAAUCACCGUCAUGGGCCAACAGAUUCGAAUUCUGCCCAUUCACUUUAUCCCGCGCGAGACCACCUUGCUUCAUCGGCUGACAUGCGGGCCCGCGAUCAACACUGCCCUCUCUGUUGGGCGCCGACCUGUGGGUCCCGCCCCAGUAGCCACUUAGCCCACGUUCGCAGACUCAUUCCGAUGCCGAUGACGUGUGGGGCCUGGCCGCCAGUCUCCUUCCCCCUUGUUCCGCUCUCGCGCCACGGUACCGAUGACAGGUGGACCCUCUACGCUGAGCAGCUCAUGUCACCUUAUCCGCGGCGUGCGCGGCGACCCAACCUCCGCGCGGUAAUCGCGGAUUUGUUCUGACCAAGCAUAGCGGACUUCACCCAUCUAUAAAACCAUGGCACGGGUUUUCCCUUCCCUUAUCCUUCUCCUCUGUGCUCCUCGCAACCUGUGGGAAAGUGAGCGCGGUAGACCAACCACCGAGGCGGGAUCUGGUCUCCACGGAUUGGCCCUCUCGCCGACAUCUUGCUUCUCGUGACAGCAUCGGAGGGGCGCCUUGGCGGAAGGAAUCGGGUACCGACUUCGAGUGGGGGCGACGGCCACUGCCGCGACAACAAUUUCUCACCGUCGGCACAGUUCCGCUCGACACCGCGGCCAGCCCUGUGACCGCCCAAAUCGUCGGUAAGAAGUUGUCGGUAAAGUUCACCGUAGGGUUAGCAACGCGUAGUACCUAUUUAGGCAUGGAAUAAGUCACGGGAUGGCUGUACCACCGCGCACCUACGUGGCUCUGCCGUGGUGCGGUCGAGCAGGCCGCUGCCGUAAUGGCUUGGGGGGUUGGUGAAGGAAGAUAAUGAUGGACAGUUGGAUCCUUGAGACACGGCCUAGAUUGGAUCUGGGGAUACCAAUUCGGGAAUCAAAUCUGAACCCUCGGCGUUGGAUCCGAUGGCCUGUGUGUGUCACUGGCAGAGCACGGAUUAAAGUGGCGUGUGCCCCAUUCGCUUGACUGAAAACGAACCGUUAUAUUUCGAUCUGAGGAACAUGGUGGAAUCAUGCCUAUUCCCUCCCUUCGGUGCUAUGAUCUUGACCGUCCGUUUGGAGUUGUGGGGUGGAGAUAAGCUCACGCUUUAAUAAAAUCCUAACCCUAGGAUCUAGAACCGUGUGUUGUGAUCGCAUACCGGUUUGGGGGGCGCUAGCUCUAAUCUAGGCCCUUGAUCAUUCGUCGGGUGGCUCUGGUGGCCUCAUACCCUUUCACUGCUGCAUCUUUGCAUAAGAGCCCCUGGAGUUAUUGGGAAUAAACCCGCGCUCCUGUCCCAUUCAAGAAUGAUCACAGGAAGGUCCUUUCCUUUGUAAAAAUAGCCCUGUGCUUCUCAGGAUUUGUGGCCACAGGCCAGAGAUUAGAUAUACUGAAUAAAAUAGAACAGAAAAAAAAUUAGAGUAUAAAAAUAAAUCCAGAAACUUGUUUAAUUCAUAUUUAAUUUAUUUUAACUCCAAAUUGAUCCCUUCCAGUUGCAUUAGAUCCAUAAUAAUAUUGUUUAUCUUUUGGUAACUUUAUUUUGCUAUGAAACCUAAAUUCAAAUUUUGUACUUAAUUUCUUUUGUACCUCACUCCUAAAUCUUAGAAAAUCAUAACUUUAUAACCGUGACUCCAAAUUUAGUGGUUCUCGAACCUAGGAUCUAGUUUCGCCGCGUAGAUCAUCAUUAUGUAGUUUGUUCUUUUGUUUGGUGUGAUGUUAAUUUUGGCUAUACCAUGUUUGUUUGUAUUGCUACGACUAGCACGAGGUCACGAGUCACUUGAAGAGCAAGUUGGUACCUGGAAUCUUGAGUCCCAGGCAAGUUGUGCCCUUGAUCACUUCUUUUUACCCAAUAUAGUUCCUGUUAAUCAUUAUGAUCUGCACAGGUUUAUUUUGAUGGGACCCAAUAGGUUACCCUAGUGUGACUAUCUUUAUGCCUUGUUUACCACUGAACUUUUGGGUAGUACUUGCUAGUGCUAUAUGUGGAUUUGGGCAUUGAGAUACACAUUAUUCAUGAUCAUGCUUUUAUUAUCAAUUUGUUAUUUACUGUUCAUGAUACGAUCAUAUUGUUAAUUGGAACAUGGAGAACCACCCAGAAAAACAGUGCUACCACAAGGGUGGUAUAGGACGCCCUUGGCUGACUAAUUAGGAAAGCUAGUGGAUGACUACCUUACCUGAAAGGGGCAAGGGCAGUAGGGGAGUGGUCAGUGUAGGGAGGUCCUUGGGUUGAUUUUGCUGCGAUGGCGGUCAGGCAAGGGAUCCAUGCAUUGGAGCUUCCUAGAAACUGUAGCGGGUUUUCUGAAGCUAGUGGAACUUUGUAAAAGCCUCGUAGUGUUACCCUGCCUCGCUUCCUUGGUAGAGGUGUAUGGGAAGUCGCGAUCCCUUGGCAGAUGGGUAACAUGACUUGUGGGUAAAGAUCUGCAACCUCUGUAGAGUGUAAAACUGGUAUACUAGCCGUGCUCACGGUCCUGAGCAGCUCGGACACUCACAUGAGUAAUUUAUGGAACUAAAAAUCAAUUUGUCAUAUGCAUUGCAUCGCAGGUGUUGUUAUCAAAUUUUGAUCUAUUGCUUAUUUGGGUUUGUAUAUACUUACACUUAGCAACUGCUAAUAAAAUUUUGACCAACUUUAAAAGCAAUGCUUAGCUUUAACCAUCCUCUUUGGUAAGCCUUACACUUCACAUGAACUCCCACCUUUGGCAUGUUCAUGCACAUUAUUCCCCACAACUUGUUGAGCGAUGAACGUAUGUGAGCUCACUCUUACUGUCUCACACCCCCCACAUGUCAAGAACAGGUACCGCAGG